rnacentral:lncRNA from 1 species
AAGAAAUUGAAAGGAAAAAAAAUAAAAUCUUUCUAAAAUCAGAUUGCAGAUACAUUGGAAAACUAAGAUUAAAUUGAAAAUUCGUCCACAUACAUCAAAGGCCCAUGGGUUUGAGCAAUUACAAUAGAUUGAAUCUAAUCUGAUAAAAUCUUUCCUAAACAAAUCAAUCAGACAUAAUUUAUGACCUAAUUCUAAAUAUUAUAAAAGCCUAAGACAAAAACUAAAAAAGGACGGAAAAAAUUAGAACAAAAAACCCUAAGUUGCUGCAGAAUCCCAACCAAAACACCAAAGCUCCGAUUGAAGCAUUUAGGGUUUCACAUAGAAACCCUAAGUUGACUUGAGCAUCAACCUCUAUUCAACCACCUGGAACGUACAAAAAAAAGACAGACAAAGGGAGUCAGAGGAAGAGAAAACAAAAAGAAAAAAAAAGAAUCAGGAAAGUUGGAAAUUUUACCUUUACCAGAGAUCCUUAUCUCUAUAGGUUGGUAGACAUUGAUACUUACUCUUUUGUUGUUUCUUAGAUGAGAUGGAAUGUAUAUUAAUAUUUGUUGGUGAUUUGUGUUGUUUUAAUGUGGGUUAGGGUUUGGUUUAGGGUCAUCCAGAAGGGGCUCUAGGUUCUUAGAGUAUGAGAUUUUGUUGAUUGAUUUUCGAAUUUGAGGGUUUAAUUCAUUAGCAAAGUGUUUGAAUUUAUGGCCAGGACUCAAGUUUGGAUGGAUUUGGGUGAGGAAGGUGAGAAUUUGGGUUAGGUGAGUGGUUGGCCGAAGGACGGAGAUGAAGAUUCAUAUUCUCCAAGGUAAGGGUUCUUAGGCUGAUAGGAUUCAUGGGUUAAGGUUCAUGAGUUAGGGUUCAUGAGUUAGGGUUCUUAGAUUAUUAGGGUUCAUGGGUUUGGGUUCUUAGGUCGUUAGGAUUCUACUAGGUUUGUGUUAGGGUUCAUGGAGUUGGAUGAAGUCAAUGGUUAGGGUUCAUCAAUUGGGUAGGGUUAUAAGGGCUAAGGUUGAAUGUUUGAAGAUCUAGGUUGAACUUCAACCAGAGAUCUGAGGGUCACGAUGGUGCUAAGGAUAGAAAUAGUGGGGGAUGUUAGUCAGAAGGGAGAGCAUGGAAGUAAGAGAGAAAAGGAGUCUGAAAGAGUGAUAGGAGUGAGAGAAGAAAAGAGGAGAAAAUAAAAUGAAAAUUGGGAAAAGGGGUUUUAAUACUCCCUAGGUUGGGCGCCAGAUCAUCAACACGUGGCCCCCUGAUGGCUGCGCGAUUAGAUGACUUUGACUCAUCUAGUGUGUGUGUUCUUAUCGUCUUCCCUUUAUUGACUUCCAAUCUCAACCUUUCUUUCAGGUUACCUUGACUGGUAUGCUAAGUGGAUGUUUGUGAUGAGUUAUCAUCUGAUCUAUUGGAUUAGGAUCUAACGCCCUAGAGAGAGUCAACCUUUGACUCUCUCCCAUGGACCUAAGACCAGCGCAUUGGGCCUUUCAACUACUAGGAUUAGCACUUUUUCUAUCCCAUACCCCUCAGUUUACCAGCCCAAAGGCUUCUGCAUCCCCAACCUUAUUAUUUCUUAUUUCUCUUUUACUUCUUUCUUUUCUUUUUGAUAUUUCAGUUAGACUAUUACUUAGUUCAUUAGGGUAAUUUUUAAGGUAAAAUAGGAUUAAUUUAUGAUUAAGUGAAUUAACUUAGGAUUAGUUAUGUAAAUUUAGGUUAUUAUCUUAAUUAUAUUUUAAUUUAAGUUAGUUUUUUUCUAAAUCAUAAAAAACAAAUUUAUUUCUUUGUAAUUCACUAUUCAAAAACAACACAAAUAAUAACUAUGUAUAUACGAUGGAUUUAUUUUCUAAACUAAAUUAAAACUAUAUUUUGCAAGCUAAAUUGGUUGUGUGUCACGCCUUAUCAAUCUAUAACUCAACUCAAAAUUUAAAAUCAAUCCAAACACAUCAAAUACUCUUUUCUCCGCCCUUGUGCGUUGAGCCCUUUUUUGAAAUAAACUUUUCUGCAUCCCUGAAUGAUAUGCAUGAAUGCAUGAACGUAUGGAUGCAUGCAAAAAUGAUAUUUUUAAGUUUAUAGGGAAUCCUGGGAUUGUCAAUUGCAUAUGAGUAGACAUAAAAUUACAGAAAAUAAGACAAAAGAUAUAACCAAUAAUGGAAAAUACUCAUUUUAUUCACCGGGGAAGAACAAAGAGUACAUUAUUAAAACUCUGGGAUUUGCUCGAUGAACUACAAGAAGAUCAACUUUGAACCUCUCAAUCACAACCCUACAAAAAAAAGUGAAAGACAACCCUAGGAGUAUUGUGUGGAAGCAUGUUUGCAUAAGCUUCCUUCAGCAUGCCCGAGAGAUCUUCAAUUGUAUGGUCAACAAACCUAGCCAAGUGUGCAUGUUUAUCCCUCCAAUAUUAUGCAUAAUUUAGGAGAUUAUGCAAUAAAGUGAGGAUAGAUCCAUGUAAGAGUAUUUGUAGAAAUGAUUAUUUCUGAUCAAGGAGAACUUUGAGGUAACGACAAUGUCGCUCCCAUUAAGAAUCUUAUUUGUUGAGUUGAUUAAUAACUUCUUAACUCUAAUGUGCUUUCCCUUUCAACUCUAUGAUUUCUUCAAAAACCUUUUCGAUAUCACAUUGACAUCGGUAAAGAGAAACCUCAAGCUUCUUAGCAUUUAUUUUCUCUUUCUUCAACUGUUCUUUGAAAUCUUUCAGUUGGUCUCGAAGUUCUUUGAGUUGGCCUUCAUAGCUCUCUUCCAUCUCUUUGCGAGAUUUCAGAGUUUGCUUCCAAUUGGUUACCACUUUUCUAGCAUGACACUGAGUCUUAGCAAGUUGAUUUUUCUUUGUAGAGAGGCCAACAUAAUUUCCCUUAAGAGCUUCAUCCACCUUUCUUCGCUUGUUAUGUUCAUCUUGAGCAACCUCAACAACUUUGAGCGUAUGCUCUCUCUUCUGGUUGAGAUUGAUCUUCAAAUCUUCCUUCUCUUGAGUAAAUCUACCAAGAUCAGAUUGCAAAUUUUCAUUCUCCUUUUCCAAGAGCUUGAUAGCAUCCUUAAGCUUGUCAACUUGCGAGAUAGGAACAAUAGAAGGUAUAAGAGGCUUUAGGCUCAUGGAAAGUUCCCAAGGGUAGGGAAGUUUUACGACUUUGACUCUUUGCUUGACCCAAUAAGUGUAAGGCUCCAAAGUAAUGCAACUCUGUUUUCCAAGUUCCUUUUCCCUAAUGUGGUGGAUUUUUCCUCAUGCACAAGGUAUCUAUUUCAGCAAUUAAGGAUCAUCAACCCCUUCAGCUAACACAAAUUCUUCCAACAAUUCGUCCUCAGGUUUGUUCUCCACUAGGUAACCAAGUUGAUGCAAUGAAAGAACAAGAUUGUAGUUAAUACUUCCCUUAGUACCAAUGAUAUGCACAUUAUGAAAGUCAACAUAACUAAAUAAUUUAUAUAUCCCAUCAUAGCCAUGGUUGUACCACACUAUAUCAUCGACAUUCAAAGACAUAAACCUUUGAGACCACUUCAGAGCUCCCAUAUUAUCAACAAAAUGCCAUUUCCUUGGUAAGUGGGUCAGAAGCCACUUAUAAAGCAAAGGAACGUAGUAGUUGAUCAUCCCAACCUUCUUUUUAUUCCUCCAAUGGAAGGAAAAAUAGAUAUCGCCCAGAAGUGUGGGAACAAGAUUUCUGGAUAAGAAGAUGUUGUCAACAACCUUAUUAACGAAGCCUUCAACAUUUAGAAACAAUAUCAAACCAUAAAUGAGGAGAGAAAAGAUGGCAUAUAAAGCAUCCCAACUUCCACUAUCAGCAAAUGUGGUAUCUUUUUCAAUCAGAAACUUUGAGGGAAAUCCUCUGGUGUUGCCUUUGGUACGAAUGUUAGAUUCAACCAUUUCCUUUUUUAGAUGAAGAGCUUGAGCUAUCAGUGCAGACUCUGGAAAACCAUCCAAGAUUAUGUAUGGAACCUAAUAUUUGGUUGGAAUAUGUAAGAUAUGAUCAAACUCUUCCAAAGUAGGAGCGAAUAGGAAAUCCUAGAAGGUGAAACAGUGCAGAGUAGGAUCAUAGGACUGUGCAAAUGCGAGGAUCAAGCUAGUGUCCUCCUUAGUAAGAAGAAUACUACACAAGUUUCCACAAGUCUUCUUGAAGGCAUAUAUGUGAUCAUCAACUAAGUGAGCUCCAAUAUUCCUUAACUCAUAUAGCUUGGGUUCCCUGAGUUUGUACUAGAAAGUGUUUCUUCUGUCGGAUUUUUCUAUAACUGAAUAUUUUAGUAUUACUGGAUGAUUGUGGAUUCCUUGAAAAUCAUGUACAUGCUAAAAUGAAUUUCAUGUGGAUUAAAUGCAUACAUGUAUGCAACAUCCAUGUAUUCAAAGGUUCGUCGUAUUCUGCAUAAUCUGAAUAUACUUCUUGAUGCAGGUUCAAAGGUCCGACAUAUUCAUGAUAAUCAAGGUAUGUAGAGUUUUGGGUUUCCUGUAAACGCAUAUCCCCUCAUAGGUAGCUAAUAUUCUUCAAAGAAAGAGGUUUCUAAAAAGGUCCUUAGAGUCACAGACCCAUUUUGAGAUACCACUACCUAGAAUGAAUGACUCGUCGGACAAUGAUGCUCCCAAAAGGAUCUACUUUAGGGAUGGCGUCUCGUGUUAACGACGAUCGAGGCAUAACACCAAGGAGGUCAACAUGACUCUACCACUAACUAUCCUGUGUGUAUACUCAAGCUCGGGUAUAGAGAUUUUCUCUCAUGUAACAUCAUAAACCUCAACCCAUAACAGAGAAUAUAACAGAUAUUCAAAAUAUGAUAAAUAUAUAAAGCAAUAAAAGCAAUAAAAGCAAAGCAUGUAAGAGUAAAUAAAGAUGAAAUAAGAUAUGGAAAGUAAAAGAAUAAAGCUAAACACCAAACACACAAAUAAAACAACCAAAACUAGGCUUGACUUACUUAUGGACUCCCUAGCAGAGUCGCCAACUGUCAUGCCACGAAAAAUACCCAAGCGCAUCACACGCUUGAAAUACAAUAGAGUCACCACCAAACUUUAUUUAUUCCAAAGGAAAGGGAAAAUAUAGAUAAAACCCAGGGGGAAGAGAAAGAGGGUAAUGAAGUCGGUUAUGCAAGGGGAAUGUAUUAACACCUCUUACAUCUGUUGUACUCAACAGGAACCAUUUUGAUUGUUCUUUGGGUGGAUGGGUGUUAUUAUCUAAAGGUUACUUGCGAUUGAAUUUAAUAAAGGGGAAAAUAAUUUUAUUAAUUAAUGUGUUCGCCAAGGAUUCAAACCCUAGUUCCUAUGUAUUCUCAUAGUACAAUGAGAAAAUCAGAGCUCCAUAGUUCAUGGUAGAAAACUACGAAUUUGUUGGUUGCUUUUAGUAACAGUUAUAAUCAUAUCUUGGAAGUAGUUUGAUGUUAUCUGAUUUGAUCCUAGUUCUGAUGCUCUAAGCUUUUAGUAUGACUGCUAAGGAACAAAUUAUAACAAUUCUUUUUGAAAUGAAAGAAAUUUGUUCUUUGAAAAGGUUUAAGAUUGAAUUGAAUUGAAAAAGCUUAUGAAUGUUUGUAAAUAUUUGUGAAAUGGUGAAGGUGUUGUUUAGUAGGGUGAAAGUAUUGAACGAUAUGGUGAAAGUAUUGUUUGUACCAAGAUUGUAUUGUUUGAACCUAUAAAGUGGUGUCUGAACCAUGAAAAAGAAAUAAAAGUGGUGUUAAAAACCAAAGAGAAAAUAAAUGUGGUGUUUAAACCAAAGAUAUGGAUGUUUUAACCAAGAUGGUGAUUAACCCAAAGAGAAAAUACAAGAGUGGUGUUUAAACCAAAGAUAAAAUAAAGUGGCACUUAAACCAAAGAGAAAAAUAAGAGUGGUGUUUAAACCAAAGAGUAUGGCGUUUAACCAAUAACUGGUGAUUAUCCAAGGAGAAAACAAAAGUGGUGUUUAAACCAGGAGUGUGGUAUUUAAGCAAUAAUUGGCGAUUAGCCAAGGUAGAGUUGUAGGAUUUUUCCUAGAUCGAGAAUAAAGACCUAUAAAUAGGGGGUUUUCCUAAGCAUUGGGCCUGACAAGGAAAAUAUGCAUGAAAAGGGGUUUUAACCAUAAGAAGGUGAUUAACCCAUGCAGGAGGUAUUUAACCAAUAACUAGUGAUUAAACUCAAGUGUUGUGUGUGGUUCAGAGAUGUGUGUUUAACCUAGAGAAUGUGAUUAACCCAUGUAGGAGGUGAUUAACCAAGAGUAGGUUAUUAACCUCAAGAGUUAUGUAUAUUCAAAGAUAAUUGUGUUUGAUCGAAAGAGAAAGGUAUAAUUUAUGGGGAUUGUUGAAGUGUUGUCUGUGGGGAAGAAAGUUUGAAAGUUGUUUGAUUUGAAUUACACUAAAGUCUAUGAAUGGGGGUGAAUUCUUUGAAUAACUGGGGCAUUUGUCUCGUAUCUAAAGGUAUUCAUAACAAGGGUAGGAAAUAUCCCUCUCAUUUUUUUCCAUUGCUUAAGACUUGUGGCACACAAGUCACAUCGUAACUAACAGGUGUUUUGAAAGAGAAGAGUCUUUUUGUUUGUUUUGAAAAGGGUGAGGCAAUGUGAUUGAAUGGAUGAAGCUCGACAUGAUCAUGUCUUGAUGUUCUUCCUUCUUCAUGAUGUCCUGAAUGUGAAUGAUGAGUUGACUUUAUAGGUCAAGUUUAAUGCAAGUGUAAAAACCUAAUUAAAUCAAGUGAUCAAGGGACUUUUGGUCACUUGAAUGAAUAAGGAUCUUGAGGGGAGCAUGCCAUUGUUAAUGAAAAGUCAUACAAGUCUAAUACUAAAUGUAAUUAAUUAACCAAUAAUGAACUUGACCAACUAAUCAAGGGGAUGAACAUUCCAAGAAUCAUACACUAAACACAUGAAAAUAUGAUAAAGAAAACAAUGGAUUAAAAAUUGAAAUUAAUCAAGGUUAAUCCAAAUAUCUAAUGUGUUCCUAAUUAAAACAAAAGGGGAUUAAAUUAUAACUAAAAUGAAUCCAAUCUAAUUAAAAUAUAAUGAGAGGGAGCAUGAUGUUUUUUAUGUAUAACAAAAAAAGAAAAGGAUUAAAAGAGUAAGAAAAAAACAAUUCAAUAAUAAAUAAAUAAAACACUCUGCAGGGGGUGUAUUGCUAAAACAAUGGGUUUGAUCAGUAAAAGGCGUUCGGACUAGCAUUGAAGGCUCGUGAUUGUUUGAGUCUUGUUUCAGAGAGAGGAUGUGUGUAAGAAACCCUAGGGUGUGUGGCAGUAAAGCCCAUUGGGCUUAGUGGCUUGAAGGCCCAACGCUAAUGGGAAAAGGGUGAAUGAAUCAGAAUCAUCACCUCAUUUCAUUUUCACACUUCAACCACGCUUCUCUCCCUCUCUUAUGAAGAAUCUCAUCGAAAAUAGCUCUGCCGUGCCGGAGGCGGCUGAGCAACCCAGUUCACCCUAAAACCACCACCAAUCUGCUUGUUUCUUCCUCCUCCUUCCAUUUCUCAACUCCAAUUCACCUAGAUUUCAAAGAAAUCUCCAAACCACAAAAAAGAACACAAGAACCCUAAAACACAUAUACAAAAUUAAAUGGUCAUGGAGGGGAAUCAAAGCAAGAAACCUUGGGGCUUUAAUUCCCCUCGUCUUUCUCUACAUCUUGGCAUCACAUUUGAAGCGAAACAAAAGAGUCAAGUGAAAUAUCUUACUUGCAAGGCAGAGGUUCACCCCCUGGUGAUUGCUGAAGAUUGAAGAAGAAGAUUAUGAAGAGAAAACCAGAGAUAUUAACAGGUAUGUACUUCGAUGCUCCAACCUUUCCUUGGAAUAAUUUAUUCUUCUUCUUCUCUUGAACAUAGUCUGUAGGAACUUAAGAAUUUAUGUUGUUGCUAAUGCAUAUAGAGAGUAGAGAGUGUAGAGAGUGUGGCUUCAACUCAGUUGAAGUAAACUUUAGUGUGAAGUUUUCUCAACAACGGCGGAUUGGAGAUUUGUGUAUUGGUGAGGGAGAAGAGAGAUUGAAGAUAAAUUCAGGGUGGAGAUUCAGAGUGAGUGGUUAAAGAUGAUUGAAGAUGAAUUGGUGGUUAUAGAGACAUUGAAGUGGAAUGAGUUUGGUAACUGUUUAGGGCAGAGUUUAGGGCAGGUGAGUUGAAGGUUAGGUCAGGUGUUAGUUUGGAUGGAGAUUAGUUAAUUAGUGAGAAAAGUUGUUAGGAGGUUUAACAUUGUUAGUUUGGUGGUUAAUGAGUUGAAAAUUUAGUUAGGGUAGUUAUGAAUUGUUAUGGUUGUUAUGGAUUUGUUUAGUAGGUUAGUUGGAAUUGUUUGUUUGAAUGUUAGUGAUCUCAAAACUGUGACAGUUAGGUUAGUUAGGUAAGUGGUUAGUGAAAUAUGUUAGGUUAGUUAUUGAGUAUGUUUUGAAAUUAAAACUGUUAUGAUGUAGGUUAUGAGACUGAGUUAGAACUUCUAUGACAAUUACAAUUUGUGGUGUUAGACAGUUAGAAAUUAAUUUGUUUAGUGAAUAUCCUUUUUAAUUGUUAGUGCAAAUGUGAAAUUAUGAAUGUUGAAUUGCUUGUACUGUUAUUGUUGUUGUAUUGACUGAUAUUAGUUGGAAGCUUCAAUGAAAACUAUUAAUGAAUUCGUGUAGAAAUAAUAUUGGUUAGGAGGUUAUGUUGGAAAUGUAUGAUUGAAUUGGUUAGCUUUUAGAUAGUUCAUUGCUUGAAUUGUUAUGUGAAUUGUUUGAACUAAAUUAGUGUCUUUAGUUAAAAGUUGAUUAAUGCUAGAAGUUUAGAAAAAUAAAAGGUUAAGCUUAUGUUGUUAGCUAGUGAUGAAUCAAGUUAAUUUGUUAGUGAAUUUGGAUGGACUGUUAAAAGCAAGUGCAUUGUCAAAACAUGAUCAAAUUAGUAAUGUGGAAUUAUUAGAUGGUUAGAGUUUUGGAACUGCUAUGUCAUGUUAGUAAGCAUGUUAGUGGGAUUUAAGUGGAUUGGCUUAUGAGUUUAGUGGCAUUGGUGUGUGUUGAAUGUGUGUGUAUGUAUUGAAUGGAUGUCAUGGUUAUACUAGGUAUGAAGCAUAAUUGAGUUAUGUGAAUGUGUCCUUAUAAUUCUAAAUGGUGCAGGGCUGAAGUGCAUAUGGUGGAGUGAACAAGACUUAGAUUGAAGAUAGCAUCAUCAAGAUUGGCAUGGCAUGCAUAGCAUGGCAUCAUGGUGAUGGAGUUUUGUCAUAUUGUGAAGAAAUUGGAAUUCAUCAAGAACAUGGAGGAUUUGAAGAAUAUUGAAGGCAUAAAUGGAGGAUCAAUAAGGAAGAAGAUCAAAGUAGCCUAGUGUAACACCUCAAAAUUUGCCCUCCUCUUCUUGGGACUAGUUUAGCAUAUUGCAUUUCAUGUUUUAGGACAUUAGGCAUUCGCAUAUUGCAUAUCAUAUGGAAUAAGAUAUCAUCCUCUAAUGUCUUGUUCAGAAGAUGGAGGUGGUAUAUGGUUCAAGCCUGAGGGUCUUAUUGAAUUGAUGAUCAACCAUCUGAGGGAAACGUCACGUAAUCCCAAAGAACUAGGAAGUUUCCAUGAGCAGUGUCUUGAUUGCAAGGGUAUAUUACCAUCAUCAUGGUUAUGUCAUCCUCAAGGGCUUCACUGUGCAUGCUCAAGUUCCUUGGGGUUAGGGUUUUGACCUCUGGUCAACCCUAAUCAAUGCAUUCUUCCAGUCAGGGUUUAUCAAGGAGAUGAGGUAUUUGUUGAUGAUGAAGAUCACAUGGUUAAAUGGAGAGCUUAUAUGGGCUAGGGGUUUCAUUUCUGAGCCAAUUCCUCAAGUGGUGGAGGUUCAAGGUCAUCAGUGCAUUGCCAAGUCAUCUGGCGCCCAUAAAAGUUAACUGAAAGCUAGGAGGUGGAGAAAUGAGUAUCAAAACUUCAUUCAUGUCCAAAAGAGGUUUGUUCAUCAUGUCAAACAUCAAUCUUGAAGAAUUUGAAGCCAGAUCAAAAGUUUCCCAAAAUGAAAAGUGACCUGUAAUUGAAAGUUUCCAAAAAUGGAAAGAUUUUGGUUCAAAUUCAACUUGACUUUCCAACAUCAAAGAAGCUUCAAAUGAACUUUUGGUGUACAUGAAAGUUGAAGAUCUUUCUCUCCUCUUUCCAAAAAGUCCUAUUUCAUGGAUUUAUGAUGAAUGUUGAGAAGUUAUGAUCCAAUGAUUGCAAAGUGUGCAGGAACUUCAACAUGGCAUAACUUUUGACUCAAAACCCAAAUGAAGCCACUUCUUUUGCAAAAUUCUUGUCUGACCUAUAUUUCCAAAUCUUCAUUGCAUUGCAUGAAAUUAAUCACAUGAUCAUUUGUUCAUGCAUGUUCAUUUUGGAGCGAAAGUGAAAUUCAAAUUUGGUGCAAGCUACAAACAUAAUCCAAUCCCAUUGUGUUCUUAGGUGAUUUGAGUGAAUGUGAAGAUUGCAUGCUACUGUUCACGUGUGAAUUUGCCAUGCACCACACACUUUUCAAUUUUGUCAUGCACCUCAUUAUUUGAUUAACUUUUCAUUAACCAUGCUUAAUGAAUUUUCAGCAUGAUUACACAUAGUAUAAGCUUAAUCAUAACAAAUUGUUCAUAACAUCACAUUCUAGAUUCUCAAAUUUGCUUUCCCUCCAUUUUUGCUCUCAUUUCAUAAUUCAAUUUAUUUCACAUAACAUUCUUGAUUUUAUGCAUCAUCAUGAUCACUAAGCUUCAUUGAGUAUGAUCAAGCUUUGGAUUUGAAGAAUUGAGCCAGAAUCAAGCACAUAAGCUCAAGAACAUGAAGAUGGAAGUUUGCAAUUCUGAUCAAGAUCCCAGCCAUUUCAAGCUUCAAUCGUGGCCAAACUUCAAUAUACAAGUGAUAGAGGAGAUCUGGACAUUGCUAGGCCUGAUAUACGUUGUUUCCUCAUUCUCUUCAAGAGGUUGGAAAUUCGAAACUCUUGAUUCUUCUUUUUAUUGCAUAAGACGUUGUAGAGCUUUUCAUGCUGAGAAUUCUGAUAUAGAUUUCAUGGAAAAUGGAUGAAUAUUGGUUGAGUUAUGUUGAUUUGAAGUUUGUGUGUUAAAAAUGUUUUCAAUCGAUUUACAUGAACCAUGGACUUUUAGACUUAAUUAAUGUUGGAUUCGUGUUGUACAUGAGAUAAGUUUUCGUUUGUAUUAAGCCAUGCGCGUUUCUGGAUUUUUUUUUGGUGUUCAUCACUGUAGCUCCGCCGUUCCAAUGAAGAAGACGGUGGAAACCACCGUCCCUCCACCGCGCGUGAAUAGUGUGCGUGCUUCCUGGUUCAAGCGCCUAGGGCUCACUGUUUGAGCGCCUGUCACCAAUGUGUCUCGUGUUCGAUUCCACCUUGCCAUGCAUUUUUUUCAUUUCAUUUGUUUUCCAAUUUUGAAACGGCUGCGUUUUGAUCCUAGCGCGCCAUACCUCCAUUCGAUUCCCGGCUCCAACACUUUUUGUGAUUUAUUUCUUCAGCGCCUUCUAUUUUUUCAUGUACAUGGUUCGAUUCCCACUGACACCAUAUUUUCAAAUUCUAUCAACCUUUUCCAUUUCCCUCCAAUUAUCAUAUGAUUUGCUUCAUUUUAUUUCAAUAUUUUCAUUCAAUUUGCAAAAAUCAUAACAAAUAGAAAAUGAAUCCAAAUCACUUCCAAUUUUUUGCUACAUGUUCAUAUGGAUGCCUAUUAUUUUGUGGUUGUGAUUUCUUGAUUUUAUCAUUUCUGGAUUUUUAAUUGUGGACUGUUAUUUGAACAUGAUGCAAAAUGUGACAUGUUAUACCAAUUCUUUUGUGAAAUGCUCAUACAUUUUCCAAUUGAUUUGAAAUUUGAUAUGCUGAUUCCCAACAUGUUGCUUGAUUUUUGAGUCUUGGUUGUGCAUUUUUAUCAUUCUUCAUCUCUGUUUUAGACACAUGAAUGUAUGGUGUGACAAUGUGUGUCACACAUUUUGAUGUUGCUCUUGUUCAUUUUCAUAUACAUGUCAAUUGAGCUUUUCUGAUUCCAAUUUUUUGCAUGAUGCUUGUGUUUAACAUGUUGUAUGCACAUAAAAAUUUCCAUGGUUAUUUGACUCAUUUCUGUUUUAAUAUGGAAUUUCUACUCUUAAUGUCCAAUUGUGUGCUUUGUAAUUGCCUUUGCCUUAUUUUGUGCUUUAGAUGGCUCUUCUUAUUGAUUUGAGUUUGAUCCUUUUUAGGACAUGUUCUUACAUGAAUAAAUAUGCUUCAUGUUGAAUAUUGGUUGCUGUUUUGACUUUUUGCUUUACCUUUGACCCUAGUCUUGGUACUAGUGGUUUGUACUCACCUUUUGAGCUUUGCAUUUCAAGUUCAAGCUUCUAGUCUUAAUGGUUGAUGCAAUCUCAUGACUUGAGAUGCAAAUCUGCUUUAUCCACUAACCUUUGUUGUGUUGUAGGUUCCUUGGUGAUGAACUCACUUGAGUUGUUGAUUUGUUGACUUGCCUUGUGUGCAUAUUGGUUGUAACAUUGUUGACUGUUUGUUGGAUUUGUCUGAAUGUGAAUAUUGACUUGUUUGACUUUGUUACAGGUACUUUAGUCGCUUUAGCUCAUUGCUUGAGCUUUGCUUUGCUUGUGGUUGGUAUACCACUAAGGUAACCUCUCUAACUCCAUGUAGUCUGGAAGCCCUGUCGCUUUUUUGGCAGGCGUUUGGCUGAAGUCCUCCUUAAGAGGCAAUGACUGUGUUUGUUUACAUUUGUGCUGUUACUUGUUAAAGUCCAGUAGUCUGGAAGCCCUGUCGCUUUUUUGGCAGGCGUUUGGCUGAAGUCCUCCUUAAGAGGCAAUGACUGUGUUUGUUUACAUUUGUGCUGUUACUUGUUAAAGUCCUCCUAAGUGAAGAGGCAAUUGGCAGAUAGAAGCGAUUAGCAAUCAAUCCCCUGCUAAUCGUUUGAGUCGUUCAUUAAGCUCGCACUACGUGCUGAUGCUCUUGAACCUAACCCAAGAUCUUUGUAUAUAGAGUCAGUCAAGUGGAGUAGGGUCCCACAUUCUGGAUCCCCAUGUUUUCAUUUAUUCAAGCUCACCCAGGCCAGGGUUAAGAGCUAUGAGGUCCAACCCUCAUUACCUUUCAUCUUCUCACCCUGACGGUCAAUGUCAGUGGUUAAGAGCCUCAGACACCCCUUCCAGUGUUGGCUUGUUUGUCGAGGUUGAUAUGACCCCUUGACUAAAGCCCAACCUUAUAUGAGCCGCUUGUGUGCAUAUAGAAUGUGAUGAUUGCUUUUAAUGUUUAUCUGCUUUUGCUUCUCAUCUCCUUUCUGUAGGAGUCGUAUGAUCAACUUUCGAGGAAGUUGAACGUACGUAGAGAUAGACUUGAGUUGACUCACUACCUGUGUGAGUCAAACUCUUGUUAGAGACCUCAACCUAGGGUUAUAAUUUGCAUGAUGACUAUUAGGCUCGAGUCAGUCUCUCUUUUAGUCUGUUAUUCCCUUGGUCUCUGGUUAGGAGAAAGUUUCUCCCCUGUUAAGGGGAACUACGUUGCCCUGAUCCUCAUACCAGAUGAGGUACGUAGGCAGGAGAUCGUGCGAGAUCUCUCCGGGCACCCUUUUUCUUUUUUGCGUGUGUUUUGCUUGACAACUACUAGGCUCGAUUUCAGACUCCCUUUUAGUUUGUCAAUUGGAGAACCUUUGGUGUUCGCUGGUUAGCGAUUACUUAUUUGUUUGGAGUCGGAUGUAAGUCCAGGUUUGGCAUUCUGUUUCCUGGUUUGUUUGUGUUUGGAGUCGGAUGUAAGUCCAGGUUUGGCGUUCAGUUUCCUUGUGCUGUUUGUUUGGAGUCGGAUGUAAGCCCAGCUAUUGGCAUUCCGUUUCCUUGUUGAGUUUCUUUUGACGUCUCAGCGUCUUUGUGUUGUGUUUUGUUUCGGCGUGCGUUAGCCGAACUACGACAUCUCUGAUUCUCAUUCCAGAUGAGAUACGUAGGCAUAGGAUGCGAUAUCCUAGCGAGCCCGUUUCCCCUUGUCCCCGAACUACGUCGACUCUGAUGUUUGUGUCUGACAAACUACGUAGGCCCAGGAUGUGACAUCCUGCCGAGUCCCCUUCCUCCAUCUUCUUUCACCUUUUUGCUUAUUCCAGUGUGUGUGCAUUCUUUGAGCAGUUUUUCAGCAACCUUUUUCUAUUCUUUUGAGCGUGGAUCCCGUCGAGUACGACGGACGUGAGGGGCGCUAAUACCUUCCCCUUGCGUAACCGACUCUCGUACCUUGCAAUCUCUGGUCGUAAGACCAUUCCUUUCCCUUUUUCAGGUUUACUUCGAGCGUUUCCUUUCCCUCCUUUGGGAUAAAUAACGCACGAGGUCGUAAGACCAUUCCUUUCCCUUUUUCAGGUUUACUUCGAGCGUUUCCUUUCCCUCCUUUGGGAUAAAUAACGCACGGUGGCGGCUCUGUGUCUUUUCCCGCCGGUUGUUUUUCGUGUUGCGACAGUUGGCGACUCUGCUGGGGAAUAAUAAGAAGUUGACCUCUGACUGGUCCAUCUUCCCUAAGCUAGUCGAUCCUAGCGCUCUUUAGGAUAAUUUUGGUUGCUUUUGCUGCUCUAUUUAUUGCAUUUAUGAUUAUUAUACUAUGAUUGUAUAUAUUUGUAUAUGUGUUUGCAUGCAUCAUAUUAUCAUUGUGCUGGACUUUGUACAGGUUGGUUCCUCUGAUUUGGGGUGGGUGUUCUGAGUGGGGCUAAAACCCAGACCCGAGUAUACACCUAGGAUUAGCGUGGUCUCACGUUCUUUCCCGGAUCUUUGGUUUAGAUGAUCUUAUGAGAGCUGCAACGGCACACCCGAAAGGGCAAACCCGUUAAGUAUCUUGUCCGAUUGUCGAGACCAUUAUCCGCCUUAGGAUGACCUUGUUAGAAUUCACCUGUGAGGGGAGGGUUUGAUUCCUGCAGAUGCAUGUUCUGAUGGUGACUUUCUGAUGGUGACUAUUGGUUCAGUUUUGAGCUCGGUCCUAUGUGUGAGGCGGAUUUAUGGAUUUAUUUCUGAGAUGCCGGAGUUCUGUCCGUGGUAUUUAUCAGUGGGGAUCCGUUUAUUUCAGGAUUCCCUGGGUUGGUACAGAUGAUUUUGUUGUUAUCAGAUCAGUGGUUUUCCAGUGAUGAUGGUGAUAUAUCCUUCGGUUCCGUUUAUUUCGGAACUCUGAGUUGGAUUUAUGGUUGCUCAGUACCUCAGAUGGUUGUGAUUAGUUUAGAGACCAGGGCUUCCAUGCAGUGGAUGUUCAGAUGACUUGGAGGAUGGCAUAGUGCAUUGCAUUCAUACAUCAACAUCAUUCCCAUCUUGCAUUUAUCCACAUCUAACUCAUGUUUAUCCAUAUGCAGGGGACAUUCUUGAUUGAAAUCCUGGUUGAGAGACUUCUUUGCUCCAGAUAUGAGGCCCGACUUGAAGAAUGAUGUUGUAUACAGUUUCUUUGAUCCAGAGAUUGAUGCACUGAAAGAGAUGAUAGCAUUGAUUACACCUGACCAUGUGGGGAUGUUCCGUGAGGCUUAUGGACUUGAAGAAUGAUGUUGUAUACAGUUUCUUUGAUCCAGAGAUUGAUGCACUGAAAGAGAUGAUAGCAUUGAUUACACCUGACCAUGUGGGGAUGUUCCGUGAGGCUUAUGGGGGUAUUCUGAAGGUGUUUUUCAGGCUUACAGAUGAUGAUAGGAGCGUCAUCCAUACUCUUCUCCAGUUUUAUGACCCUGGUUUGAGAUGUUUCAUCUUCCUGGAUUACCUGUUGGGACCUUUGAUGGAAGACUAUGCCAGUAUCCUGGGUAUUCAGGUCAGGAACCAGAUUCCAUUCUAUGUCACUAAGGAUGAACCUGAUGUUGCUGAGAUCUCUCGUGCUCUUUAUUUGAUCCCAGAAGUGACUAAGGGGGGUUUGAAGGAGAAGGGAAAGUUGCCUGGUUUUCAUUUGAGUUUCUUGGAGGCCAAAGCCAAGGAGCAUGUUGUUUUAGGUGAUUGGAAGGUUGUCUGUGCUCUGCUUGCUGUGAGCAUUUAUGGAAUCAUCUUGUUCCCUAAUCAGAAGAACUUUGUAGACAUUAAUGCCAUCCGGGUGUUUGCGCAGAGGAAUCCUAUUCCUACCUUGGUUGGGGAUGUCUAUUACUCGGUCCAUAAUCGGAACGAGAAGCGGCGUGGUGGAUUGAUCAGAUGUUAUGCUCAACUAUUACACAAAUGGUCCAUGGGAUAUUUGCCUUCCAGAGGUGCCUUUGUCUUUCUUGACCAUACUGUGAAUUGGGCGACCAAACUGAUGGGUUUGCGAGCCAAGGACAUAGCUUGGACUCACAAUGGUGUGGCGGGACGAGACUUCAUUUACAGUUGUGGGAGCUUUCCCAAUGUGCCUCUCAUAGGAGUUCAGGGUUGCAUUAAUUACGACCCGACGCUUCUUAGGAGACAAAUGGGGUUUGCUAUGGAGGUUCCUCCUCUCGAGUGUGAGAUUCAGGAGUCUUUCUAUUUCCCGGCUGAGGGUAAUCCGACACGGUUGAGGCAAGUGUCUGGAGCAUGGCGUAACAUUCAGAGAAAGGGCAAGGUUCCUUUUGGUAGGGUUAAUAAUAGGUCUUUUCCUCUGUUUGAUGAUUGGCUCAGAAAGAGGAUUGAGCUCACGCAUCUACCAUUUCCUGGGGGUGAUCCUUGGUAUCCAUUGAUUGAGGGGCCAUGUUCUUCUGUCAGUAUGGAAGAAUUCCUUGAGAUGAAGAGGGAGAGAGAUCAACUACAGGCAGAGAAGAUUGAGUUGGAAAUGAGUGUUGCUAGAAUCCAAAUGGCUAAUCAGGAAAUCAAAGGGAAAAUAGAAGACCAGGAUAAGAGGCAUGCCUUGGAGGUGAAGCGCUUUGAGAUAGACACCGCCUAUUACUGCAAGAUCAGCCAAGCUUUGAAGUCAUCUACAAAGGAGCACGAUAUCACCAAGGAGAAGUUGGCUAGAGCUUUGAGAGUCAUUGAAGAUGAGAAGAAGAGACAGGUCCUUGUGAAGACUCAGAGGGAAGCCAAAGUCAAAGUCCUUAUCGCCGAGUGGGAAGCAAAGCUGAAGGUUAAGGAAGAAGAGAACGCGAAGAUUAUUGCUGAGAGAGAUCACUAUCUUGCUGAGAGGGACCAUUAUUUCCGACAGAUGAAGAUUCACCAGAAGGAGGUGGGGAGACUGCAGCAGGAGAACACUGAGCUCAGGUUCGCCGUGAAGUUUACCAAGAUGGUUGAUGAUGCAGAGCCGUCUAUGGGACCUUCUUCAGUGUAGACUUUUGUUGUUAUGUGUGGAUUACCGUCAGGCAUGUUGACGGAAUUCACGUGCUUGUAUUUUCUUUCUGAUUCUGGAGAAUUGUAAUUUGAUUUGUAUCAGCCUGAUGUAUGACUCUCGCACGUACUGUGCGCUUUUGAUAUACAAUGGUUGUUAUCAUUCGGUGAUCGAUCUUCAAGCUUUAUUUGCUUUCUGUGCACUCACAUAAUACACACAUGGUCGGGUGAUAUCUUUGCUAAAUCAUAACUCUCUGCUCUGUAUGGUGAAACCAGAUGAUUGAUGCCAAAUUGUUGCUGGCGAAUUAUUAUCUGUCUCGACGAAACCAGGAUCAAAAGACAGAGUGUUCCUCAUAUGGAUAGACAUUGCAUUCAUGCGUGAGUCAUAAUAACCUGUCUUCUGUUUUGCAGGUGUCAGUUUCUAACAUGUUUGAUUGACUCAGGAACGAUGAAUCCACCCAACGCUGACAUUCUCGAGCUGAAAGAGAAGAUGAGUGAGCUGAUCAGUGUCAUGCAAGAGUUCGCCUUGGGGCAGAAAGCAAUCGCCGAGAAGGUGGAGAGGAUUGAGAGCUGGCUGAAGAUGGGGAAGAUACAAGGAAAUGCUUCGUCGUCUGGAGUAAAGAAGCCCUUUGGCGAUGGUCAGCGCGAGAAGGAGGUUGAAUCAAGUGAUGUGUCUGCCCAAAGGGGACGCGGUAGCGAUCGUUAUCACCCGUAUGCUGCUACAGUAAUGAUUCCUGCUGGUAAUCAAUCUGUACGACAGUAACAGCAGCCACCUCAACAAAGAACACAAAGAGUUGGGUGUCAAGCGAGAAGAAGGAUGACUGAUCGUCAGUUUGAUAAGCCACCCAUGGCGUAUGCUCUUCUGUUUAAGAGGUUGAAGGACCUUGGGUUGGUUCAACCGAGGACGUUGGCUCCGGUAGGAUCAUACCAAAGGCUUGCAGGUUACAAUGAGAACAUCAAGUGCGAGUUCCAUUCUGGUGCACCCGGGCAUAGCAUUGAGGGUUGUAAAGCUUUUAAGCAUGUCGUUCAAGAUUUGGUGGAUUCUAAAGCCAUCAAUUUUGCACCGACACCGAAUGUUAAUGCUAACCCCAUGCCGGUGCAGGGUCCUAUGGGGGUGAACGUGAUGUCAGAAGAUAAGAGAAAAAUAGAGGUGACAGAUGUGGAUCAGUUGAGGACUCCAAUGUCUGUGGUCAAGAGACAUUUGAUGAAGAAUGGAGUUUUCCCUGGCUGUGAUAAUUGUUGUGCUGCUUGCACUGUCACUACGAAUGGGUGUGUGAUGUUGAGGGAGACGAUUCAGAGAGUGAUGGAUAGGGGACGUCUCCGAUUUGAGAAAGUUGAUUGGGGGGAAGAAAAUAUCUUUGUCAACCAACUGUCAUCGUUCAAAUAUGUGGAAAUGGACGGUGAAAUAUGGGAAACACCGAGCCAGGCAUUCGAAACCGUCAAGGUGGAGAAUGUUGUUUUUGUCAAAGAAGAGAAGAAGCCGUUCAUUUCUUCGUAUAAGCAGGCCACCGAGGUGGUAAAGAGUGGAGAAGCCCCAGGUUGGGGGAGGAUGAUUGAUAUCGCCGCCAAAGAAGAUAGGUUUGGGGUUGGUUAUCGAUCGGACCAGGGCUCGUCUGGACAGAGUAGAGUACGUCGUCAACCAUUCACGUUCACCAGUGCUAGAAUGCUGGAUCCAGAUCGCAUCUGUGCGGUGGGUGAAGAGAUCGACAGUGACUGCGAGCUCGAUGGUUGGAUAAAACCGUGCGUACCAGGGAUGGAAGUCCAGAACUGGAAGGCCGAAAAGAUCAUCACUGUCACUCUACGUGAAGAGUAAUAUUUCUGUUUUUCAAUACUGUUUGCAUGAAAGCCAUACGUUUUGCUCGAAACGUAAUGGUUCAUUGUAAGGGCCACCUCAUGUGUUUCAUUUUGCAACAUUUUGCAUCAGUAAUAAAUGGAUGAAAAAGUGUAAUUUUCGCCACAAGGGACAAAAAGUAAAUAAAAACGAGUUUAAAAAUAACAAUAAAAAUGGCAAUGUUUAUUUUCAUUUUUCUUUCCUUUUGAUUGGCUUCGUUCCGACUUUUUUAUUCUCCGGAUCUCAUUGAUAACAAUCCUGUUACACCCUCAUAUGACUUCGACAAUCCGAUCUAUCAUGUCGAAGAAGAAGGCGAAGAAGAUUGUGAACUGCCGGAGGAAUUAACCAGAGUGUUGAAACCAGAGGAGAAGGUGAUUCGACCGCAUGAGGAACGAGUUGAGCUUGUUAACCUGUGUACCGAGGAGGUCAGGAAGGAAGUGAAGGUUGGGGCCGCCUUGGAGGCGAGUGUCAAGAGCGGAGGUGAUGCGAUUCGGUCUCAAGAACGCCGGUGCCACGUAUCAAAGAGCUAUGGUGACUUUGUUUCAUGAUAUGAUUCAUCAUGAAAUCGAAUGCUAUGUUGAUGACAUGAUAGCAAAGUCCCAAACAGAAGAGGGGCAUUUGGAAGACUUGGCCAAGUUGUUUGACCGGUUGAGACAAUUCAAACUGAGGUUGAAUCCAAAUAAGUGCACUUUCGGAGUGCGGUCCGGUAAAUUGCUGGGGUUUAUUGCGAAAAAAAAAAGGAAUUGAGGUUGAUCCUACUAAAGAAAAAGCAAUACAAGAAAUGCCUGAACCGAGAAUAGAGAAGGAGGUUCGUGGUUUCUUAGGUAGAUUGAACUACAUUUCACGGUUCAUAUCUCAUCUAACAGCCACGUGUGAACCCAUAUUCAAAUUGUUGAGAAAAGAUCAAACGGUCAGGUGGAAUAAUGAUUGCCAAACGACAUUUGAAAAGAUAAAAGAGUAUUUGCAGGAGCCUCCGAUUCUGAUGCCUCCUGUGGAGGGACGACCAUUAAUUCUGUACUUGACAGCCCUCGAGGGGUCUAUGGGGUGCGUACUGGGGCAGCAUGACGAGUCUGGUCGAAAAGAGCAUGCAAUUUACCUUAGCAAAAAGUUUACCGACUGUGAAACAAAAUAUUCACUGCUCGAGAAAACUUGUUGUGCUUUGGCAUAGGCUGCUCGCUGACUAAGACAGUAUAUGCUGGUUCAUACCACUUUAUGGAUUUCCAAGAUGGAUCCGAUCAAGUAUGUAUUUAAGAAGCCAACAUUGACCGGACGGGUUGCAAGCUGGCAAAUGAUUUUAACCGAAUACGAUAUUCAGUAUACCUCUCAGAAAGCAAUCAAGGGGAGUGUAUUGUCUGAUUACCUCGCCCAGCAACCCAUUGAGGAUUAUCAACCGAUGAAGUUUGAGUUCCCUGAUGAGGACAUCAUGGUUCUCGAUUCGAAAGAUUAUGAUAAAUCGAUCCCGGAGGAGGGGCCUGACCCCGAAUCCGAACGGAUUCUGAUGUUUGAUGGGGCCGUUAAUAUGAAUGGUCGUGACCUAUGAGGAUUGGCACGAGAUGUUGCCGUUUGCAUUGCACAGGUAUCGAACCUCGGUGCGUACAUCUACUGGGGCAGCGCCUUUCUCACUCGUGUAUGGGAUGGAAGCCGUGCUACCAGUCGAGGUUCAGAUUCCUUCUUUGAGAGUCCCGAUGGACGUGAAACUGGAAAAGGAUGAAUGGGUAAGGACUCGGUACGAAGAGUUGAGCCUGAUUGAGGAAAAGAGGCUGGCAGUCGAUUGUCAUGGGCAGUUGUGCCAGCAGCGAAUGAAGCGUGCUUUUGACAGAAAGGUGCGACCUCGUGUGUAUCACGUGGGAGAUAUGGUGCUGAAAAGGAUCCUUCCUCCUCAGAACGAUCGUAGGGGCAAGUGGACACCCAAUUAUGAAGGUCCGUUCGUGGUCAAGAAGGUUUUCUCUGGCGGAGCCUUGUUGUUGACGACCAUGGAUGGCGAGGAUUAUGGCGAGGAUUUUCCAUCCCCUGUGAAUGCGGACGCAGUUAAAAAAUACUUCGUAUAAGAGACCCGCUGGACGAAAAGAAUAAAAUAGUCCAGGCAAAAAUGGGCAUCCCGGCGAACCAGAAAAAAAAAUGAAAAAGGUUCGGGCAAAAAUUAGGGAUAAAAAGAGAAAAAAACUGUACACCCGGCAAGUAGAAAACCCCGCAAGGGCGACUUGGGCAAAAAAGGGUAUCCCGAUGGACUGAAAACCCGAAAGGGCGAUCCAGGCAAAAGAGGGAUUGAAACGAACAACUGCGUCUAGCAUGAUCGUUUGUGUUUUGGUUAAGACACAUGGAUAAUCCCUGGCAGAGAUCAGUCGGAAAUGUCUUGUUCAGAAGGCAGAAAGCACAGAGAGUCUGAGGACAUGUGGGGUGUAACCGAGUUGGAACUCGAUGAGAUCACGGGUUCACAUUGCCAUUAGGAUAGAUUUUUCCUUUUGUGUGCAAUUACCUCUUUUCAGGGAUUGCUUCCUGUGUAUUGCUCGGUUUUUGAGCCACCUCUUUUCAAUCAAUAAAAUGCAUAUUCAGUCAAAUAAUUUUGUUUUUGGUUUUCAUUACCGCUUUGAGUGCAAAAACAUCCGUUUAUUUUGAUAAAGAAUAUUUGCAUUUUGAGACAUACAGGUCCCUUCCAAUGCAUGUUCAUAAGAUUGAAAGCCUGAAAUCUUAUUCGGAAGAUUGAUAAAGAAUAUUUGCAUUUUGAGACAUACAGGUCCCUUCCAAUGCAUGUUCAUAAGAUUGAAAGCCUGAAAUCUUAUUCGGAAGGUUGAGUGACCUAGGUGUUGAAAUUUUGGCACGCCUGGGGAACGUUUUUAUCUAACGAUCUCUUUUGCAGGUGCUGUUAGAUAUUUUCACUCACUUGCAGGUUGUGAUGUGAAGCUUUUUGACCCCGUGGAGUCCAGUCAGGGACAAGGGAUUGAAGGAUGGUGAAAAGACGGCGAAAGACGUGCGACGAUCCUGGAGGUUUAAUCAAGAAGACUCUUCAAAGUCUGGAAAAGUGGAAAGAUGACACUGGAUUUAGAUGGUGAAUACCAGGGUUCGACGAGUCGACGAGUGUUUCGUGUCAGAUUUUCCUUAUUUCCCCUAGCAGGGUCGGGAUUGUUAUCUCCCCAGCGGGUUCGAGAUCGGUGUUUCCUCGGCAGCCAGGCCUGAAGGUUGUUGUGUCCCCUAGCAGGGUUGAGAUUGUUAUGUCCCCAGCAAGUCGAAGAUUGUUGUUUUCCCCGCAGAGUGCGUUGGUAGCUGUUUCCCUAGCGAAGUCCCCAAGCGGAUCGGGUUUAGUGGAGGUCAUCCCUGGUGAGGGUUGUCCUUUCCCCAGCAGCAGUGUUAUUUCCCGGUAGGUUGGAGAUUUGGAGUGGUACCAGGUUCCUCAGCAGAGUGCCUCGAGCUCCCCAAUAGAGUCCCUUGGAAGGGAUACCUUUUUAUGCAUUCAUCAUUUAGAGAAGCAUAGCAUAUUGCAUACCUUAUUGCGUAGCAUUUCCAUGGUUAUGGAGCAUUACGCUGAAAAAAAUCAUCAUGCAUCGGCAUUGUGAGCAUAAGCUAGUCUCACGCCGUGGUUACCAUUUGAGAAUUGGUUUAGCUGGUUGGUGAAGAUGUUACUCAAGCCGUGGUUACCGUUUGAGAAUUGGUUUAGCUGGUUGGUGAAGAUGUUACUCAAGCCGUGGUUACCGUUUGAGAAUUGGUUUAGCUGGUUGGUGAAGAUGUUACUCAAGCCGUGGUUACCGUUUGAGAUUUGGUUUCGCCGGUUGGUGAAGAUGUUACUCAAGUUGUGGUUACCGUUUGAGAUUUGGUUCCGCCGGAUGGCGAAGAUGUUAUUUUGCGGAGUUUAGCAUCAUGACGUUGGAGCAACAAUGUUCCCCAGUAGUGCGAUGUUGGAGGAAAAUUUUCCGUCGAGCGGAGAUGGAAAUAAAGCUUAAAGAACGUUACGCGAUCAGCACGAAAAUCGAAGAAUGGAGAAAAGGAAGUGUUGCGGCAUUUUCUGGAGAACGGGGUUCAAAUGGAGAUUGGAGUUGAAGAUUAUGUCUGGGAUGAGGUCCUCAGGAUUUUCUUCUGAUCAUGUGUCACCUUAGACUUUGGCGAGGCCAACAGAAGUCGGUAUGGGUGUCUUCGGAGGAAGAAAUGCACAUGUUACCUUCCUUUUGUGAAGGUGUACCCUCUGAUAUGUCGCCAUCAGAGUGGUGUUUUGGUGUUAUUUCCGGUGUUGCCAGUGGAAUUAUCACAAGAAAAUGGAGAACAGGGUUCAAAUGGAGAAAGGGAGACACGGGGUGUUUUCUGGAGAGCGGGGUUCACAACGGCGAUCGCAAGUUAUCGUCAGGCGAUUGGGGUUCAACUAGAGAACAGGGUUCAUGAUUUGGCAAACAAGAGUAAUAUGAAGUGGUCGGGGUUCAAAUGCGGUGAUCAGGGAUCAUACGCGUGAAAGGAAAUAAGUUUCGGGGUUCAAGAAAAACAAAAAAAAAUCAAUCAAAAUCAAUCAGAAAGUUUUGGGGUUCAAGAAAAGCAAAAAGUAUAAUAAUAAUCCCCAGCGGAGCGCAAAUUGUUCGUUUGUUCUUGGUAUUCAAUCACUCUUCACCCUGAUCAUCUGAAAGCCGAGGCUGUUCAUAUCGACAGGUUCACAGUGGAUUGAAUAGGGGUAGCUGUAACACCUCAAAAUUUGCCCUCCUCUUCUUGGGACUAGUUUAGCAUAUUGCAUUUCAUGUUUUAGGACAUUAGGCAUUCGCAUAUUGCAUAUCAUAUGGAAUAAGAGAUCAUCCUCUAAUGUCUUGUUCAGAAGAUGAAGGUGGUAUAUGGUCCAAGCCUGAGGGUCUUAUUGAAUUGAUGAUCAACCAUCUGAGGGUUUGCAGUGCAUUAGGGUUUCUUGAUCCUUCAAAGGUUGAGCAGUGUCUUGAUUGCAAGGGUAUAUUACCAUCAUCAUGGUUAAUUGAUGAUCAACCAUCUGAGGGUUUGCAGUGCAUUAGGGUUUCUUGAUCCUUCAAAGGUUGAGCAGUGUCUUGAUUGCAAGGGUAUAUUACCAUCAUCAUGGUUAUGUCAUCCUCAAGGGCUUCACUAUGCAUGCUCAAGUUCCUUGGGGUUAGGGUUUUGACCUCUGGUCAACCCUAAUCAAUGCAUUCUUCUAGUCAGGGUUUAUCAAGGAGAUGAGGUAUUUGUUGAUGAUGAAGAUCACAUGGUUAUGUGGAGAGUUUAUAUGGGCUAGGGGUUUCAUUUCUGAGCCAAUUCCUCAAGUGGUGGAGGUUCAAGGUCAUCAGUGCAUUGCCAAGUCAUCUAGCGCCCAUAAAAGUCAACUGAAAGCUAGGAGGUGGAGAAAUGAGUCUCAACACUUCAUUCAUGUCCAAAAGAGGUUUAUUCAUCAUGUCAAACAUCAAUCUUGAAGAAUUUGAAGCCAGAUCAAAAGUUUCCCAAAAUGGAAAGUGACCUGUAAUUGAAAGUUUCCAAAAAUGGAAAGAUUUUGGUUCAAAUUCAACUUGACUUUCCAACAUCAAAGAAGCUUCAAAUGAACUUUUGGUGUACAUGAAAGUUGAAGAUCUUUCUCUCCUCUUUCCAAAAAGUCCUAUUUCAUGGAUUUAUGAUGAAUGGUUGAGAAGUUAUGAUCCAAUGAUUGCAAAGUGUGCAUGGAACUUCAACAUGGCAUAACUUUUGACUCAAAACUCCAAAUGAAGCCACUCUUUUUGCAAAAUUCUUGUCUUGACCUAUAUUUUCCAAAUCUAUCAUUGCAUUGCAUGAAAUUUAAUCACAUGAUCAUUUGUUCAUGCAUGUUCAUUUUGGAGGGAAAGUUGAAAAUUCAAAUUUGGUGCAAGCUACAAACAUAAUUCCAAUCCCAUUGUGUUCAUUAGGUGAUUUUGAGUGAAUGUGAAGCAUUGCAUGCUACUGUUCACGUGUGAAUUUGCCAUGCACCACACACUUUUCCAAUUUUGGUCAUGCACCUCAUAUUUGAUUAACUUUUCAUUAACCAUUGCUUAAUUAAUUUUUCAGCAUGAUUAACAUAUAGUAUAAAGCCUUAAUCAUAACAGAAUUGUUCAUAACAUCACAUUCUAGAUCUCAAAUUUGCUUUCCCUCCAUUUUUGCUCUCAUUUCAAAUUUNUGGUUCAAAUUCAACUUGACUUUCCAACAUCAAAGAAGCUUCAAAUGAACUUUUGGUGUACAUGAAAGUUGAAGAUCUUUCUCUCCUCUUUCCAAAAAGUCCUAUUUCAUGGAUUUAUGAUGAAUGGUUGAGAAGUUAUGAUCCAAUGAUUGCAAAGUGUGCAUGGAACUUCAACAUGGCAUAACUUUUGACUCAAAACUCCAAAUGAAGCCACUCUUUUUGCAAAAUUCUUGUCUUGACCUAUAUUUUCCAAAUCUAUCAUUGCAUUGCAUGAAAUUUAAUCACAUGAUCAUUUGUUCAUGCAUGUUCAUUUUGGAGGGAAAGUUGAAAAUUCAAAUUUGGUGCAAGCUACAAACAUAAUUCCAAUCCCAUUGUGUUCAUUAGGUGAUUUUGAGUGAAUGUGAAGCAUUGCAUGCUACUGUUCACGUGUGAAUUUGCCAUGCACCACACACUUUUCCAAUUUUGGUCAUGCACCUCAUAUUUGAUUAACUUUUCAUUAACCAUUGCUUAAUUAAUUUUUCAGCAUGAUUAACAUAUAGUAUAAAGCCUUAAUCAUAACAGAAUUGUUCAUAACAUCACAUUCUAGAUCUCAAAUUUGCUUUCCCUCCAUUUUUGCUCUCAUCUCAAAUUUAAAUUUCUUUCACAUAACACCUUGAUUUUAUUGCAUAAUCAUGAUCACUAAGCUUCAUUGAGUAUGGAUCAAGCUUUGAUUUGAAGAAUUCGAGCCAGAAUCAAGCACAUCAAGCUCAAGAACAUGAAGAUGGAAGUUGCAAUCUGAUCAAGAUCCCAACCAUUUCAAGCUUCAAUUCGUGCCUAAAGCUUCAAUAUACAAGUGAUAGAGGAGAUCUGGACAUUGCUAGGCCUUGAAUACGCUGUUUCCUCAUUCUUCUCUUCAAGAGGUUGGAAAUUCGAAACUCUUGAUUCUUCUUUUUAUGUGCAUAGACUUGUAGAGCUUUUCAUGCUGAGAAUUCUGAUAUAGAUUUCAUGGAAAAUGGAUGAAUAUUGGUUGAGUUAUGUUGAUUUAAAGUUUGUGUGUUAAAAAUGUUUUCAAUCGAUUUACAUGAUCCAUGGACUUUUAGACUUAAUUAAUGCUGGAUUCGUGUUGUACAUGAGAUAAGCUUUCGUUUGAUAUAAGCCAUGCGCGUUUCUGGAUUUUUUUUUUGGUGUUCAUCACUGUAGCUCCGCCGUUCCAAUGAAGAAGACGGUGGAAACCACCGUCCCUCCACCACGCGUGAAUAGUGCGCGUGCUUCCUGGUUCAAGCGCCUAGGGCUUACUGUUUGAGCGCCUGUCACCAAUGUGUCUCGUGUUCGAUUCCACCUUGCCAUGCAAUUUUUUCAUUUCAUUUGUUUUCCAAUUUUGAAACGGCUGCGUUUUGAUCCUAGCGCGCCAUACCUCCAUUCGAUUCCCGGCUCCAACACUUUUGUUAUUUAUUUCUUCAGCGCCUUCUAUUUUUUCAUGUACAUGGUUCGAUUUCCACUGACACCAUAUUUUCAAAUUCUAUCAACCUUUUCCAUUUCCCUCCAAUUAUCAUAUGAUUUGCUUCAUUUUAUUUCAAUAUUUUCAUUCAAUUUGCAAAAAUCAUAACAAAUAGAAAAUAAAUCCAAAUCACUUCCAAUUUUUUGCUACAUGUUCAUAUGGAUGCCUAUUAUUUUGUGGUUGUGAUUUCUUGAUUUUAUCAUUUCUGGAUUUUUAAUUGUGGACUGUUAUUUGAACAUGAUGCAAAAUCGUGACCAUGUUGUACCAAUUCUUUUUGUGAAAUGCUCAUACAUUGUCCAAUUGAUUUGAAAUUUGGUAUGCUGAUUCCCACAUGUUGUUUGAUUUUUGAGUCUUGGUUGUGCAGCUUUUAUCAUUCUUCAUUCUCUUUUUAGACACAUGAUGUAUGGUGUGACAAGUGUGUCACACAUUUUUGAUGUUGCUCUUGUUCAUUUUCAUAUACAUGUCAAUUGAGCUUUUCUGAUUCCAAUUUUUUGCAUGAUGCUUGUGUUUAACAUGUUGUGUGCACAUAAAAAUUUCCAUGGUUAUUUGACUCAUUUCUGCUUUAGUAUGGAAUUUCUACUCUUAAUGUCCAAUUGUGUGCUUUGUAAUUGCCUUUGCCUUAUUUUAUGCUUUAGAUGGCUCUUCUUAUUGAUUUGAGUUUGAUCCUUUUUAGGACAUGUUCUUACUUGAAUAAAUAUGCUUCAUGUUGAAUAUUGGUUGCUGUUUUGACUUUUUGCUUUACCUUUGACCCUAGUCUUGGUACUAGUGGUUUGUACUCACCUUUUGAGCUUUGCAUUUCAGGUUCAAGCUUCUAGUCUUAAUGGUUGAUGCAAUCUCAUGACUUGAGAUGCAAAUCUGCUUUAUCCACUAACCUUUGUUAUGUUGUAGGUUCCUUGGUGAUGAACUCACUUGAGUUGUUGAUUUGUUGACUUGCCUUGUGUGCAUAUUGGUUGUAACACUGUUGACUGUUUGUUGGAUUUGUCUGAAUGUGAAUAUUGACUUGUUUGACUUUCUUACAGGUACUUUAGUCGCUUUAUCUCAUUGCUUGAGCUUUGCUUUGCUUGUGGUUGGUAUACCACUUAGGUAACCUCUCUAACUCCAUGUAGUCUGGAAGCCCUGUCGCUUUUUUGGCAGACGUUUGGCUGAAGUCCUCCUUAAGAGGCAAUGACUGUGUUUGUUUACAUUUGUGCUGUUACUUGUUAAAGUCCUCCUAAGUGAAGAGGCAAUUGGCAGAUAGAAGGGAUUAGCAAUCAAUCCCCUGCUAAUCGUUUGAGUCGUUCAUUAAGCUCGCACUACGUGCUGAUGCUCUUGAACCUAACCCAAGAUCUUUGUAUAUAGAGUCAGUCAAGUGGAGUAGGGUCCCACAUUCUGGAUCCCCACGUUUUCAUUUAUUCAAGCUCACCCAGGCCAGGGUUAAGAGCUAUGAGGUCCAACCCUCAUUACCUUUCAUCUGCUCACCCUGACGGUCAAUGUCAGUGGUUAAGAGACUCAGACACCCCUUCCAGUGUUGGCUUGUUUGUCGAGGUUGAUAUGACCCCUUGACUAAAGCCCAGCCUUAUAUGAGCCGCUUGUGUGCAUAUAGAAUGUGAUGAUUGCUUUUGAUGUUUAUCUGCUUUUUCUUCUCAUCUCCUUUCUGUAGGAGUCGUAUGAUCAACUUUCGAGGAAGUUGAACGUACGUAGAGAUAGACUUGAGUUGACUCACUGCCUGUGUGAGUCAAACUCUUGUUAGACGACCUCAACCUAGGGUAUAAUUGCAUGAUGACUAUUAGGCUCGAGUCAGUCUCCCUUUUAGUCCCGUGUAUUCCCUUGGUCUCUGGUUAGGAGAAAGUUUCUCCCGUUAAGGGGAACUACGUUCCCUGAUCCUCAUACCAGAUGAGGUACGUAGGCGAGAUUGCGAGAUCUCUCCGGGCACCCUUUUUCUUUUUUGCGUGUGUUUUGCUUGACAACUACUAGGCUCGAUUUCAGACUCCCUUUUAGUUUGUCAAUUGGAGAACCUUUGGUGUUCGCUGGUUAGCGAUUGCUUAUUUGUUUGGAGUCGGAUGUAAGUCCAGGUUUGGCAUUCUGUUUCCUGGUUUGUUUGUGUUUGGAGUCGGAUGUAAGUCCAGGUUUGGCAUUCAGUUUCCUUGUGCUGUUUGUUUGGAGUCGGAUGUAAGCCCAGCUAUUGGCAUUCUGUUUCCUUGUUGAAUUUCUUUUGACGUCUCAGCGUCUUUGUGUUGUGUUUUGUUUCGGCGUGCGUUAGCCGAACUACGACAGCUCUGAUUCUCAUUCCAGAUGAGAUACGUAGGCAUAGGAUGCGAUAUCCUAGAGAGCCCGUUUCCCCUUGUCCCCGAACUACGUCGACUCUGAUGUUUGUGUCUGACAAACUACGUAGGCCCAGGAUGCGACAUCCUGCCGAGUCCCCUUCCUCCAUCUUCUUUCACCUUUUUGCUUAUUCCAGUGUGUGUGCAUUCUUUGAGCAGUUUUUCAGCAACCUUUUUCUAUUCUUUUGAGCAUGGAUCCCGUCGAGUACGAAGGACGUGAGGGUUACUAAUACCUUCCCCUUGCGUAACCGACUCCCGUACCUUGCAAUCUCUGGUCGUAAGACCAUUCCUUUCCCUUUUUCAGGUUUACUUCGAGCGUUUCCUUUCCCUCCUUUGGGAUAAAUAACGCACAGGUCGUAAGACCAUUCCUUUCCCUUUUUCAGGUUUACUUCGAGCGUUUCCUUUCCCUCCUUUGGGAUAAAUAACGCACGGUGGCGGCUCUGUGUCUUUUCCCGCCGGUUGUUUUUCGUGUUGCGACACCUAGGGUUAUUUUGACCUUGGUCAAUUGUUUGACCAAAAGUCAACAGUUGCCCAAAAGUCAACCUAAGGUCAAAUAUGACUUUUUGUGUAAUUUUGUACGUUUUAUUUUUUUUAAUGAAACUUUUGAUGUGGUAAUGCGAUUUUUGGCCUUUGAAAAUGUACUUGUAACUUGUAUUCGAAGCUAUAUUGUUCCCUCUAAAGUUGAAUUUGAAUUUGAAUUUGAACUUGAACUUGAUUUGAAUGAACUUUGAAUUUGCAAUGUUAUGUCUUGAAUACAAAAACAAAUAGCCAAACAACUAAAAAUGUAAGACCUCAAAAGAGAAUGGUUAUAAAAAGUCAAUCUUCCAUGGUUGACUUUUGUUGACCAAAGUCAAACUUGAAAAGUAACCUCUAAACCCAAAUGCCACGAUGUAGUCAACAUGAUCCAAAAUGCGUAGACCAAUAUUAUGGUUUCUUAAAGACUUAAUCCAAGACCAAUGAUUAAUAAAAGUUUUGUUGUGCCCACAGCCAAAAGGUCCAGAAGCACAUUGAACAUAGGCCCGCAAACCAUAAUUUAGUGCCUUGUAUCUUAAGAAGAAACCUUUUGAUCAAUGAUAUCAUUUGAAAAAUGCAAUUGUAAAUGAAUGAUCUACAUGACUAUGAGUAUGUAGAUGAACCAUGGUCCAAGGAUAAAAUGAAAAGAAAAAGGUAGGGCAAAUUUUGGGGUAUGACAUGAUUCUGGAGACAACAUGCGGAAAGCGAGCAGACUCCAUGGCGAUUGAAGUCAGUUACCUCAUUGUAGGUGCCAUGUCGCCCUACAAUAUAAUCCUACAUAUACCAUCCAUCAAUGCGUUGAAGGAGAUUAUUUCCACCCGAUAUCUGGUUCUAAAAUACCCGCUUCCUGGAGAGCGAAUCAGGACAAUUCAAGGAGACCAACAAAGUGCUCAAGAGUGUUAUCAGAGCUACCUGAAGAAUGAGAGGGAAGAGCUCUACCUUAUGGGUGCCCUAGAUCUGGUAACCUCUUACUUCCUUUAAUGCAUUCCAUUGCUUGCCUUUGCAUACAUAUAUAUAUAUAUAUAUAUUAUAUAUAUAUAUAUAUAUAUAUAUAUAUAUAUAUAUAUAUAUAUAUAUAUAUAUAUAUAUAUAUAUAUAUAUAUAUAUAUAUAUAUAUUUAUAUUAUAUAUAUAUAUAUAAUAUAUAUAUAUAUAUAUAUAUAUAUAUAUAUAUAUAUAGUAUAAUAUAUAUUAUAUAUAUAUGAACGAAUAGUCUCAUUAGCUUGCCUAGCGAUUCUGAGAGCGAUGAGUCUCCCGUAGUUAGGGUGGCAAUAUCUUUUGGUUCAAACACUUCCUCCUUGAUCAUUGAUUAACUGGGUCAUGAGGUAAUAUCUAUAAUUGAUGAUUUUGAAUUAGCGAGACCCUCUAGGGGUUCGCCUGCUUUAUUGACUCCAGAAGUGCAGGUUUCCAUUCUAAAUGGUGACGAUGCUAAAGAAUAUAUACAAAUUCAUCAAAAAUCCUACAAUCGAGAUCCCAUAGAUACCGACAUUAAGGACCAUCUAAAACGUGGGCCCCAACCAUAUGCAAUUUGUUGGCUUGAAGCCUUUGAAACCUUUAAGGUCAAUGAACUAUCCCUAAAAAGGGUUAUGUUAGUAUAGCCGACUGAUGUGAGAAGAUAUAAUUGGGUGGACGCUGAAAUAGUGGGGACCCCCUUCAUUUUAAGUACUCAAACAAUCGUAAGUGUGACCAAUAUCACGAUCGGUCAUUCUUCUGAUUGGUAUGUCCUUCCGGUAGAUCCAGAAAAAAGGAUAUGAAACGUCUCUUUAUGAGUGUCUAUUUACCAGGGUGAAUCUUCGGUUUCCUCUAUGUGAAUUUGAGGUGGAGGUGUUGAAGUACCUAAAAGUUGUCCUCUCUCAGCUUCAUUCGGUUUCUUAGGCUUAGUUGAAGAUGUUCCAAUUUUGUGAAGGAUAUAGGUCUUGGAAUCCUUUUCCCUGUUUUUUUUCAAAUUGUUUUGAGUUGUACAUAUUUCUAAAAAUGAUACUCGAAAUCAGAGGCUUAUUGAGCUUUGUUAGCAUACUCGCUUCUUCAUCCCUUUUCACUAAUGAUUGGGGCAAUUUUCUGGGGCAUUUCGUGUUGGUGAGGCCAUAAAGUUUCCUUCUCAUCUAGCCUUGCCGAGUCUUCUCGCUUAUGUAAGGGUAAGUUUCUGAAAUAUUGGGAUUGACCUCACUUUUGUUAUGAGCCUCAUAUGUAUAGCAUUUAAAUAGAUUACCUUUAUAGAGUCUCUAUACUAGGGACUCAUCUACAUAGAAAGGUUUGGUCACAACAAAGAGUCGUCUUCCUACCAGAGGAAGAAAUCUAUUGAUACCCACGCUAUUGUGAGUAUGGUCGACCGUCUAGAUAGGAAAUAUGUAUUUGGUGAGGAUAAAAUCCUUGUUUUUUUAACCUGUGUGCUUGUACUUGUAGAUAAAAUGGGCUCUUUACAAAAAGUCUACACCAUUUGCACUUCUCAAUGUGUCAACUCAGGUCCCCUGGCUCAGACUACUACUACUCCUUCCAUAACUCUCGAUGCAUCCUCUGUUGUCGAGGAUACUUCAGCUAUCCCUGGAGCUGACCAACUUAUUCAUGUCAGUACUGCUUUGACUAUGGAGGACCAAUCUCAUGUUGUUACUACCCCGACAAAGAGAGACCCGGACUUGGACCAGAGUCCUCUUCUAGAGAAAAAUUCUCCAAAGUGGGAUCGCCUUUCUAGGGGUUUUACUUCAGGAUCGACCACUCCCCUUCUAAAAAAUCUUGUCAUCCUUCCUUCCUGAAUUCCCCACACCCCCGAGGAUGUUGUUGUUGCUAUAUCCAUGGAGGAUCUGGCUUACCUCUAAAAUCUUCUUGAGGCGGGACGAACAAUAUGGAGAUUUUCUUGAGGAUACCUUAUACACUUACCGGGAGGCUUCUCUAUUUUAAUUAUUUGUUGUUGAUCGAGGCGAAGUCCUAGCCAUGGGUAAUCCUUUCAAAGAUAGAGACACAUGGAAGGAAAAGUGUGAAUCAUUUAUGCGGAAGUGCUCCGACUUUUAGGAGGAAACAUCUUCUCUCCUAUAAAAGGUCUGAUGUAUUGAGGAUCUCUAAGAGGAGGUGAAGGUCCACCGUUCACCUUCUAGUUUAGCUUCUCAUAUCACUGAGUUAGAGUCUUCCUUAGAAGAAGAGAAGAAGCAUCGUCAGGAGACAAUUGUUGCCAUUAGGGAGGCAAAAAAUUGUGACGAUGAGGCUUAGAAAGCCUUUCAAUAGGAGAAGGAGUCCCAUGUUGAGGAUCAGAGGGUUCAUGAUGGCUAGGUGGUUGAGCUGAAUGAAAGAGUCCAUGAGUCUCUUCAGCAUGCUUUAACGAAUGUGUAUAAAGCUUUCGACCAGGAAGUGGAACAGGAAAAAGGAUUCCGCCCAAACAUCCUCAUUCCCAACGUGGAACUAGACAUUUCAAAUUUGUUCAGGACGGGGCUUUGGUGGACAACUCUGGUGUAGUGUCUCAGAGUGAGGAAGCUUGAUUUUCUUUUUCUUCUUUUCCUAUAACGUUAUUUGGGCUUUAUGUCUUUGCAAAGAUAACAAUAUUUACAUAUUUACCUUUACAUUUGGUGCCUUUAUUAAACUUAUGUGCUUGAUAUAUUUUAUUUCUUCCUUAUUGUCAUUUGGUCCGCCGUGUGGGUUGCUAGUCUCCAUGCUUUGGAUCGAUUGACGAGUCCUUGUUGCAUCAGGACUUACUCAUUGUGCUUGUACCUUUAGAUUUGUUCACCUUAUAUGCCCUAUUGGCAUUUGGCGUGUUCAUCGAACUCUAUAGUCCCAAAUGGAGUUCGUGGUUACGAGCUUCGAUUCGGAAAAGUUAGUGUUGUAACACCCCGAUAAAAUAAGAUAAUUAUUUAAAUUGAGUUAAUAAUAUAUUUAUUAAUUUAAUUAAAUAAUUGGAAUUAUUAUUAUUAUUGGAAUAAUAAUUAUUGGAAUAUUAUUGGAAUUAUUAUUAUUGGGUUAUUAUUUUUAAUUUGGAAUAAAAGUUGGAGAGUUCGAAAAGGUCCCCAUUUAGUAAAAAGGUUUAUUUUUCACGUGAAAAGGGAAAGAGACAGAAAGUGGAAAAGGGCAAAGAAGCCCAGAGAACAAGGGUUGAAGGAGGAAGAGCUUGAAGCUUCUUAAAGAUUCGCACGGAUUAACGUCAGGUAAGGGGGGUUUAUCAUGCGUUUAAUGGGUAUUAUGGGAUAAUAUGUAAUGGGUAGUGAUAAACCAUUGAUUUACCUCUGAUUGGAAUAACUUAUGCCUGAAAUUGUGACGUUUUGGGAUGAACGAUCUGGUAUUAAAAUCGAAGGACAUUCGGUAAGAAUUGAUGGCAUAGUGUUAGUAGAAUUGCGAGAUCGAAUAGGUUAUGAAUUCGUGUUAGAUGAUAUGAACGACUAUUGUGAAAAAUUGGACUGUGGAAGGUUAGAAUUGAUAGAUCCGUAGAAGAGAAAGCCAUUGCAGAUCUGGAAAUUCUGGUUUCUGGUCAUACGCGUAUGGACUAGCCAUACCGUAUGAGAUGGUCUGGUACGCGUAUGGCACCUAGGCAAUACGCGUAUGGAUGAGGAAGAUGAUGUUUUGAACGUGUUUUGGUCUCUGUUGGUACGCGUAUGGGGAAUGUGGUACGCGUAGGCAUACGCUAUGGAAUGGUGUUACGCGUAUGGUUUUGGCUGAGAAAUGGGCCAUACGCGUAUGGGACUAGGCAAUACGCGUAUGGGCAGACUUGUGGUUUCCUGAGCUGUUGUUUGUCAGUUUUUAGCUGUUCAGCUGAGUAAUGUAAUUUAGCUGAUGUUGAUAUAUUAGGGAUCAUUCCCCGUUGUUUUGAGUAGUAUAGGUAUUAGUAGAGUGUGCUAUCUACUGUGGUUUGUUAUUUGGCAUGAUAUGAUAUGCUUAUGUGAUAAAUACUGAUGAUGUGUGAUGGUAUGCAUGAUGCUGUGAAUGUAUCAGUUAUGUGUGCAUUUGUGAAUAACUGUUUUAUGGCUUAGAGUGUGAGCAAUAUGUCUAUUCUUGAAUUAUUGUUGAUGAUGUAGCAUUGCUAGGUGAUAGCAUGCAUAUUGUGGCCUUAUGGUGGUAGCUAAUUUCCCAUUGUGAGGAAUUAGUGAGUUAGUCAUUAUGGACUGUUGUCGAUGUUUGCAUGCUAGGUGAAUUAGCGUGCAUAGCAUAGCCCUUGAGGGGUGGUAGCUAAUUCCCGUGGUGAGGAAAUUAGUGAGUGAGUCACUAGGUCUCAAAUGAGUGGGACUAGUUGGACUUGGUAGCCGUGCCUGCUGGAUUUGGACGGUGAGAGGUGAACUAUAUGUUCACAAUAGUCGGUACCGCAUGCAUGGAGUUCAUUGCAUUUGUAUUGUAUGGCGUAUAAUAUGAAUGGAUGUAUUCCAAUAUUAUUACGUGUUGUUUUGUGUUGAGUUGACAGUAUGAUUUUAGUUGAUGUUGCUGUUGCUGAAUGUAUGAUCUGAUUAGGGUGAUGAAUGUGUGAAAUUACUUAAGCACUUACAUGAUGUUUAUAAUGCUUAUAUAUCGAUUGAGGAAAUCACCCUUACAACUAUGUUUUCAGGUAACGGAGCAGUGAUUGAGUAGAAGCUAAUCCUUGGAGUCUAGGUAGUCCUUAGUGGUCAUGCUCUGGUAGAUGUAACAUCGGAUGGGAUGUUUCUAUGUUUUCAUUUGGUUGUUGAACAACUUUACCAUGUAAUGUAUUACAUGGUUUGAAUUUGUUAGUUUUUAUCCGCUGGCGAAUUAAUGCAAAAUGUUUUAUUUUGAUUAAAUAAAUGAGCAUGACAGAAUAUUUUGAUGAUUGGUGGUGAAAUAUGAUUGUGGACACCCUUAAGUGCAUAAUUACUCUGAUUUGGAUAUCUUGUUUAUUUUAAUUAAAUAUUUGGGUAUUUUUAGAAGGGUGUUACAUUAGUGUAUCAGAGCAUAGUCGGUCGAGUCGAGUCGUAAUUAUUCUGUUCCCCUGUACGGGACUAGUGUUGUGUAACCCUAUAGUACUUAUUGUUUUAGCUUGUUGGGUUUUUCAGAAUAGAGAUGGCUGGAGAGGUAGAGACGAUGCUGCAAUUGCUGAGGCUCUGGGUUAUGCCUAGCUGGAGUACUUGGAGGAAAUCCGAAUGUUGUGGGAAUGGGAGCUGCUCGUCAACUGAGUGAGUUCCAGAAGAGUAAUCCUCCAAUGUUCAAGGAGGCAUACGAUCCAGAUGGCCGCUCAGAAGUGGUUGAAGGAGAUCGAGAGGAUCUUCCGAGUGACUGAGUGUGCGCGAUAACCAGAAGGUCAGGUUCGGUACGCAUAUGCCGUCAGAAGAGCAGAUGAUUGGGUGGUGCUACCCGCAGCUGAGUUGGAAUCUGCUGGAAUGAUGAGAUCACUUGGGUUUGUGUUCCGAGAGAGAUUCCUGAGGAAGUACUUUCCAGAGGAUGUUAGAGGAAAGAAAGAGAUAGAGUUCUUGGAAUUGAAGCAGGGCAAUCGGUCUGUUACUGAGUAUGUGCUAAGUUCACAGGCUGUCGAAGUAUUCACUCCCUAUAAGCGAGGCUACUGGGGAAUUUUUCAAAGUGUGUGAGUUUGGAAACGGGUUGCGUCCCGAGAUUAAGCAGGCUAUUGGGUAUCCAGCGGAUCAGAGUGUUUUCCUGACUUGGUUGACUGUUGCAGCAGAUUUUUGAACAGGAUUCCAAGGCUAGAGCAGAGAGCUAUCAGCAAAGGGUGUUGAUAGGAAAGGCAAGAAUCAGAAUGAUCGGGGAAACCGUAUGUAGUUGGAAAAGGUUUCAGAGGCAGAGUGGGAUGAAGAGGCCUAGUGGGGGAGACUCCAGUGCCCCUGGCUAAGUGUUUCAGAUUGUGGUCAGGCUGGACAUCGUAUCCAUGAGUGUACCAGUAAUGAGAAGAAGUGGUUUUAAGUGUGGAAAAGGUGGUCAUUUGGCUGCAGAGUGCCGGUCGACGACUGUGACUUGUUUCAAACGUGGAGAAGUGGGUCAUAUCAGUCCACAGUGUCCUAAGCCGAAGAAAAGAUCAGUCGGGAGGCAAGGUCUUUGCUUUAUCGGGUUCUGAGACUUCUGCAGACGAUUCGUUUGAUCCGAGGUACGUGUUAUAUUAAGGCUUUCCUCUGUAGCUAUUAUUGACACAGGUGCGACUCAUUCUUUAUUCUUUGGAUUGUGCUGUGAAACUUAAGUUAGAGAUAUCUGAGAUGCUUGGAAGUAUGGUGAUUGAUACUCCUGCGAAGGUUCAGUGACUACUACUUCAGUUGUUUAAAUUGUCCUUUGAGUAUUUUUGGUAGAGACUUUGGGAUGGACCUUAGUGUGUCUUCCACUAGUUGCAGAAUUGAUGUUAUCCUGGGUAUGAACUGGUUUGGUGUUUAACCGAGUUUAUAUCAAUUGUUUGAUAGACUGUGACUCUUUCCUGAGAUUGAGGAAGGAAAGAGUUUGUUUCUAUCAGCAGGCAGGUGAAUGAGGCAGUAGUAGACGGGGCAGAGUUGUUUAUGCUGUUAGCGACUUUGGAGGCUAAAGAUAAACUGGUGAUUUGUGAUCUAGCCGUGGUGUGUGAUUUUCCUGAUGUGUUUCCUGAAGAGUGAAUGAAUUACGCCAGAACGUGAAGUUGAGUUUCUCGAUUGAUUUGGUACCUGGUCUAGGCCAAUGUCGAUGGCUCGGUACCGUUGUCUGCUGUUGAGUUAACUGAAUUGAAGAGUCAGUUAAAAGAUCUGUUGGAUAAGAAAUUUAUUCGUCCGAGUGGUCACCGUGGUGCACUAGUGUUAUUUGGUUAAGAAGAAAGAAGGUACUAUGAGGUUGUGUGUGGACUACAGGCAACUGAUAUAAGUGACGAUCAAGAAUCGUAUCCUUUGCCGGAGGAUUGAUGAUUUGAUGGAUCAGUUGGUUGGUGCGAGUGUGUUUCAGCAAAAUAGAUUGAGAUCGGAUAUCACCAGAUACGUGUGAAAACUGAGGAUAUUCAGAAGACUGCUUUCAGAACAAGGUAUGGACAUUAUGAGUAUUCUGUAAUGCCUUUUGGUGUGACUAAUGCGCCUGGAGUAUUUAUGGAGUAUUGAAUAGGAUUUUUCCAUCCGUACCUAGAUAAGUUUGUUGUGGUGUUUAUUGAUGACAUUUGUGUAUUCGAAAUCUGAAGAAGAGCAUGCUGAGCAUUUGAGAGGGUGUUAGGAGUUCUACGGAAAAGAAUUAUUUGCUAAACUAUCCAAGUGUGAAUUUUGGUUAGAAGAGGUUAGUUUCUUGGUCAUGUGAUUUCAAGAGGUGUGUUGUGCUGUUGAUCCUUAAGAUAGAAGCGGUAUCUAAGUGGAAGCUCCGAAGUCAGUUUCUGAGAUAAGAAGUUUUCUUGGACUUGCCAGGUUAUUAUAGGAAGUUCAUUGAGAGGAUUUUCUAAGUUGGCAUUACCGUUGACGAUGUUGACUACGAAAGGGGCAAGCGUUUGUUUGGGACUCAAAAUGUGAAGAAGGUUUCCAGAGUUAAAGAGAAGGUUAACUACUGCUCUAUUUUUGAAUAUUACCGAGUCCGUCAGAACUAUUUGAGGUUUUUCUGUGAUGCUUCAUAUGUUGGGUUUGGGUGGUGUGUUGAUGCAGAUAAGCAGGUUAUAGCUUAUGCUCGAGACAACUGAGGGUUCAUGAGAGGAACUAUCCGACGCACGAUUUAGAGUUGGCAGCUGUGUAUUUGGUUCUGAAGUUGUGGAGCAUUACUUGUACGGGUCAAGAUUUGAGGUUUUCAGCGACCAUAAGAGUUUAAAGUAUUUGUUUUGAUCAGAAAGAGCUGAAUAUGAGACAGAGGAGAUUGGUUAGAGUUUCUGAGAUUAUGACUUUGGUUUGAAUUACCAUCGGGUAAAGCAAACGUAGUGGCUGAUGCAUUGAGUCGGAAAUCAUUGCAUAUGUCCUAUGUUAAUGGUUAAGGAAUUGGAUUUAAUUGAGCAGUUUAGAGACUUGAGUUUGGUGUGUGAGAGUACUCACAAUAGUGUUAAAUUGGGAAUGUUGAAGUUAACAAGUAGUAUUUCUGGAUGAGAUCAGAGAGGGUCAGAAAUCCGAGUGCUUUUGGUUGAUAAGUUGACUUUAGUGAAUCAAGGUCAAGGUGGUGAAUUGCAGAGUUGAUGAGAAUGGUGUUUUGAAUUUGGUAAUCGGGUGUGUAUUCCGGAUGUUACGAACUUAGAAGAGUAUCCUGGAGGAAGGACAUCGUAGUGGCCUGAGUAUUCAUCCUGGGGCUACGAAGAUGUAUCAUGAGUUGAAAAAGUUUUUUUUGGUGGCCGGAAUGAAAAGAGAAUUGCGAGUUUUGUUUAUUCUUGUUUGACUUGUCAGAAGUCAAAGAUUGAGCAUCAGAAGCCGUCUGGGCUAAUGCCAACCGUUGGCUUUUCCAGAGUGAAAGUGGGAUAGUAUCAGCAUGGAUUUUGUUUCUGGUUUACCGAGGACAACUAAGAAUUUCGAAGCUAAUUUGGGUGAUUGUUGACAGAUUGAACAAAAUCGGCUCAUUUCAUUCGAUCAGAAUGGAUUAUCCGUUAGAGAGAUUAGCUGAGUUGUAUAUUGAGAAGUUGUAAGUUUGCAUGGUAUUCCGUCGAGUAUUGUUUCGGACAGAGAUCCUAGAUUUACAUUAAGUUCUGGAAGGUUUGUUAGAGGGCUUUGGAACUAAGCUGAGAUGAGUUCUGCAUAUCAUCCACAGACUGAUGGUCAGACUGAGAGGACGAUUCAUUACUGGAGAAUCUUUUUGAGGGCUUGUUGUUUUGGAAAAAGGAGGUGCUUGGAUUGUUAUUUACCUUUGAUUGAGUUCACCUACAAACAAUAGUUUUCAUUCGAGCAUUGGUAUGGCCCGUUUGAAGCUUUGUAUGGUAGGAGAUGUCGGACACCUUUAUGUUGGUAUGAGUCCGGUGAGAAGUGCUGUGGUUGGACCGGAGAUUGUUCAACAAACUACGGAAAAGAUUAAGAUGAAUUCAGGAGAAGAUGAGAAUUGCUCAAGAGUCGUCAGAGAGAGUUAUCACGACAAGAGGAGAAGAAGUCACUUGAGUUCCAAGAGGGAGAUCUGUGUUUCUUCGUGUUACCCGAUAACUGGGUUGGUCGAGCUUUGAAGUCGAAGAAGUUGACACCUCGAUUUAUUGGUCCUUAUCAGAUUUUGGAGAAGGAAUAGGGGAGGUAGCCUAUCGUAUCGCUUUACCGACGUCACUUGCGAAUUUGCAUGAGGUUUUCAUGUGUCCUCAGUUGAGGAGGUACAUUCAUGAUCCGUCGCAUGUAGUCCAAAUAGAUGAUGUACAGGUGAGAGAUUAACCUGACUGUUGAAACAUCACCUAUGAGGAUCGAGGAUCGAGAAGUUGAAGCAGUUGCGGGGUAAGAGAUUGCUUUGGUAAAGGUAGCUUGGGGAGACCAGCAGGUGGCAAUGUGACUUGGGAACUUGAGAAGUCAGAUGAAGGAGUCUUAUCCUGAGUUGUUCGCUUGAGGUAUGUUUUCGAGGACGAAAACUCUUUAGUGGGGAGAGUUGUAACACCCCAUAAAAAAGAUAAUUAUUUAAUAUUGAGUUAAUAAUAUAUUUAUUAAUUUAAUUAAAUAAUUGGAAUUAUUAUUAUUAUUGGAAUAAUAAUUAUUGGAAUAUUAUGGAAUUAUUAUUAUUGGUUAUUAUUUUAUUGAAAUAAAAGUUGAAGUUAGAAAAGGUCCCAUUUAGUAAAGGUUUAUUUUUUCACGUGAAAAGGGAAAAGAGACGAAAGUGGAAAGGGCAAAGAGAGCCAGAGAACAAGGGUUGAAGGAGAGGAAGAGCUUGAAGCUUAAGAUUCGCCGGAUUAACUCAGUUUAAGGGGGUUUAUCAUCGUUUAAUGGUAUUAAUGGGAUAAUAUGUAAUGGGUAGUGAUAACCAUUGAUUUACCUCUGAUUGGAAUAAUUAUGCUGAAAUUAUGAACGUUUGGGAUGAACGAAUCUGGAUUAAAAUCGAAGGAAAUUCGUAGGAAUUAGAUGCAAUAGUGUUAGAAAUUGCGAGAUCGAAUAGGGUUAUGAUUCGUGUUAGAUGAUAUGAACGACUAUUGUGAAAAUUGGACUGUGGAAGGUUGAAUUGGAUAGAUCUCGUAGCAGAGAAAGCCAUUGCAGAUCUGGAAAUUUGGUUUCUGGUCAUACGCGUAUGGCACUAGGCAAUACGCGUAUGAGAUGGUCUGGUACGCGUAUGGCACUAGGCAAUACGCGUAUGGAUGAGGAAGAUGAUGUUUUGAACGUGUUUUGGUCUCUGUUGGUCGCCGUAUGGGGAGUGGUACGCGUAGCAUACCGCGUAUGGGAUGGUGUUACGCGUAUGGGUUGGCUGAGAAAUGGGCCAUACGCGUAUGGGACUAGGCAAUACGCGUAGGGGCAGACUUGUGGUUUCCUGAGCUGUUGUUGUGCAGUUUUAGCUGUUCAGCUGAGUAAUGUAAUUUAGCUGAUGUUGAUAUAUUAGGGAUCAUUCCCCGUUGUUUUGAGUAGUAUAGGUAUUAGUAGAGUGUGCUAAUACUGUGGUUGUUAUUUGGCAUGAUAUGAUAUGCUUAUGUGAUAAAUACUGAUGAUGUGUGAUGGUAUGCAUGAUGCUGUGAAUGUAUCAGUUAUGUGUGCAUUUGUGAAUAGACUGUUUAUGGGCUUAGAGUGUGAGCAUUAUGUUAUUCUUGAAUUGUUGUUGAUGAUGUGCAUUUGCUAGGUGAUUUACAGCAUAUUGUGGCCUAUGGUGGUAGCUAAUUCCCAUUGUGAGAAUUAGUGAGUUAGUCAUUAUGGACUGUUGUCGAUGUUUUGCAUGCUAGGUGAAUUAGCGUGCAUAGCAUAGCCCUUGAGGGGGUGGUAGCUAAUUCCCGUGGUGAGGAAUUAGUGAGUGAGUCACUAGGUCCUCAAAUGAGUGGACUAGUUGGACUUGUAGCCGUGCCUGGAUUUGGACGGUGAGGUGAACUAUAUGUUCACAAAUAGUCGGUACUGCAUGCAUGGAGUCUCAUUGCAUUUGUAUUGUAUGGCGUAUAAUAUGAAUGGAUGUAUUCCAAUAUUAUACGUGUGUUUUGUGGUUGAGUGAGUAUGAUUUUAGUUGAUGUUGCUGUUGCUGAAUGUAUGAUCUGAUUAGGGUGAUGAAUGUGUGAAAUUACUUAGCAUUACAUGAUGUUUAUAAUGCUUAUUAUAUCGGAUUGAGGAACUCACCUUACAAACUAUGUUUUCAGGUAACGAGCAGUGAUUGAGUAGAAAGCUAAGUCCUUGGAGUCUAGUGUAGUCCUUAGUGGGUCAUGCUCUGGUAGAUGUAACAUCGGAAUGGGAUGUUUUACUAUGUUUUCAUUUUGGUUGUUGAAACUUUACAUGUAAUGUAUUACAUGGUUGAAUGUUGUAGUUUUAAUCCGUGUGAAUUAGCAAAUGUUUUAUUUUGAUUAAAUAAAUGAGCAUGACAGAAUAUUUUGAUGAUGUGUGUGAAAUGAUUGUGUGACACCCUUAAGUGCAUAAUUAUUCUGAUUGAUAUCUGUUUAUUUUAAUUAAAUAUUUGGGGUAUUUUAGAAGGGUGUUAACAGUGUCAUAUGAAUCAUCCCUAGCCAAAGGUAAGGUCAGUCCCUGUCCCCGGGUUUAUCCUAGUUCCACCGUCUAUGUAACACCUACUUUAGUUAAUUAUUAUGUUUAUUUUAAUAUUUAAUUUGUUCUAUGUAUUGAGUGAUUUAUUGUACUUUUUGUUAUUUAUGGUAUUUUGGUAUUUAGGUAAUAUUAAAAAAAUUAGAGAUGUGUUAGAAUUAAGAAGAAAUAGACUUUUUUAAUUAAAUUAGAAAGAUAUGGUGUUGAGUAAGAGCUAGGGUGUGGUGGAGGAUUAGUGAGAAUAAUAGAAUAUCGUUGUAAGUAAAUAAUUGUAUUAUUAAAAUAAUUUAUUAUUUAAAAUAAUUUAGAUAAUUUUGAAUGAAAAAUAAUCAAUUAGAAAGUAGAGGUUUAAGUGAGGUUGGGAAAAUAAUUAGACUUUUAGGUUUUUAAAUAGAAAAGUUAGAAGGGAUUCUGGACAUAAUGUGAAAUUGUGGAAAAGAGGAAGCGAUUGAAACCCUAAGGAGAGCGAUCUAGGAAGGUGAGUGAAGAAUAAUCNGAAUUAUGCAAAUGUUUUAUUUUGAUUAAAUAAAUGAGCAUGACAGAAUAUUUUGAUGAUUGGUGUGAAAUGAUUGUGUGACACCCUUAAGUGCAUAAUUACUCUGAUUGAUAUCUUGUUAUUUUAAUUAAAUAUUUGGGGUAUUUUAGAAGGGUGUUACAAGUGUCACUAUGAAUCAUCCCUAGCCAAAGGUAAGGUUCACGUCCCUGUCCCCGGGUUUAUCCUAGUUCCACCGUCUAUGUAACACCCUUACUUUAGUUAAUUAUUAUGUUUAUUUAAAUCAUUUAAUUUGUUCUAUGUUAUUGAGUGAUUUAUGUACUUUUUGUUAUUUAUGGGUAUUUUGGUAAUUUAGGUAAUAUUAAAAAAAUUAGAGAUGUGUUAGAAUUAAGAGAAAAUAGACUUUUUAAUUAAAUUAGAAAGAUAUGGGUGUUUAGAGUAAGAGCUAGGGUGUGGUGAGGAUUAGUGAGAAUAAUAGAAUUAUCGUUGUAAGUAAAUAAUUGUAUUAUUAAAAUAAUUAUUAUUUAAAAUAAUUUAGAUAAUAUUUGAAUGAAAAAUAAAUCAAUUAGAAAGUAGAGGUUUAGUGAGGGUGAGGAAAAUAAUUAGACUUUUAGGUUAUUUAAAUAGAAAAGUUAGAAGGGAUUUCUGGACAUAAUGUGAAAUUGUGGAAAAGAGGAAGCGAUUGAAAACCUAAGGAGAGCGAUCUAGGAAGGUGAGUGAAGAAUAAUCUCAAUGGUAGAAAAACUCAACGAUCAUCGCAGUCGAGGAAGGGGGUGAGAUCCCUUACAUUUUGCGUGUUUAGGCAUCCGAAUAGCGAGGGAUCCUAACCAUCAUGUCUUCUCCUUCCAUAUUAUGAGUGUUGCUUUAAUCGUAUGUUUGUGGCUAAAAGGGUUUGUCCUAAACCCCUUUGAAUUAACAAUUUGAAUAUAUUACAUCGAAUUGAGUUAUUUUGAAUCUAUAAUAAUAUUAUUGUUAUUGAUAUGUGGCCUUGUCCCUUUUGGGGUUUUUUUCUUGAUAAUUCGAUUACUCCCGGUUUGUGAUGUGUAGCUGAUAUUUUCUUUUGAGAUCAAUAAUCAAAUUCCAAAAUCUUAUUUUUCAUGAAAAUCCCUAAUAUCAUUUUUUUUCGAAAGAUCAUAAAAAUGGUCAAAAAAUCAAAAAGUCGAGAAAAUCGAGAAAAAGUUAGAAAAUCCAAAAUCGGAAAAAAUUGGGUGGCGGGCCGCAGCAGCAACCAAGAGUCAGAGGCCGCCAAAAUCAGGUGUCGCAUCGCCGGCCGGCGACCGUGAGCAACGGGGCCGCCAGAGUCAUGUCGCGGUGGCAGCAUGCGACAGGUUUUCGGAUUCGGGCAGUGCGGUGGCACGGGUCGGAUGAGGCGGUCCGGUGUUCGGCGGUAGUUUGACGUUUCGCUGUUCAAUUGAGUUAAUUUCGAGUAAUCUUGAGUUCAGUGACUUUUCGCUACCUUUGUUGAUAAGUUCGAGAGCCAAUUGUUAUUUUAGAGUUGUUUUAUGUUUAUUUGAGUCAGACCGCCGGUCAAUAUAGUUCAUAAGAGUUAUCUUUAUAUGCAAGUGUUGUCCUUUGAGCACUUUAGAGUACCUUAAAGUUGUUUUGGGUUGUAGAAAUUAUUGUAGAGCCGUUUAGAGUUCCUUUGAGGACUCUGUUGAGUAAAAGAUAAGGGUUGUUACCCUUUUGAUGAGUUGCAAAUAUAAAAUAAUAAUAACUACUAUGUCGAUAUGUUUUUAGUAAUUUUAUGAGUUGACGAACAAAUUGAAUUAACGUGUGAUGAAGUUUAUCAUUACAUUAUGUAAGAUUUUAUUUUUUGAUGUUUGGACAUUCAUUUCCUAAUUUAUCAAUUGUAUUAACCAACAUUUUACAAACUAUUAACAAAAGUCUAUUUGUCACAUAAAACUUUAGCUUUUGAUGUCAGAGCAUUCAAUAAUAUUAAAUUAAUCAACUUUAUAAUUUAAGAUUAUUUUUUUUAAUAUUUUUUUUAUUUAAAUAAAAAUAUUAAUCAUCAUAUAAAUAUAAAUAUAAAUUCGGUAAACAAUAUUCCAUAUAUUUGGUUUAAAUAUUUGAUAUACAAUUAUAUGUCAAAAUAACAUUGCUGAAUAACUUAUUUGGUAGACACGACUGAAGCUAAUAAUUUAUUUGAUACACACAAAUGAAAAUAAAUGAAAAUUUCAGCUAAAUCACUUUUAAGUGUCAAAAUAAUUUCUAUUGUGUCUUUUAAUUACUACUCUUUACAUUAUUUUUAAUAUAUUUAAUUUAUAAGAUUAAUUUAAUAAUAGUGUAUUAUUACCUUUCAUUAAUUUGUGUAAAAAACCUUAUAAGUUGUAUUAAUUAUCGGCAAAUAUCUAUACUCAUCGAUGUAGAGGGAAAAAUCACACAAUAUCAAACAUUGUAAAUUUCAAAACACAGAUUUCAGAUAUAAUACAUGACCAUUUCAAAACACAUACAAUUUCAAAACACAGAUUUCAGAUAUAAUACAUGACCAUUUCAAAACACAUUUUCAAUCUAUGCUAUAUAUGCAAACCAAAAAAAGCAAAACCAGAAACAACGUCUUAGCAAAACUAUUAUCUUCAAAUUGAUAGCAUAGCUUCACAACCAAGCAAAACCACCCCAACAACAAAAGACAUCCACAUUCCCUUCACAUUACAGUAACCAGCACCAGAAGAAGCUUCAGAAGGCAAGUCUUUGUUCUCAUCAUCAUCAUCCUUCGAUGCUGAUGACUUGCUUCCAUCACCAGGCUUAGAUGAACCUCCUUUAGAAACCGUUGCAGGUGCAGGAGCUUUCGCAGGAAGCAGAAGAUCAAGAGGAACAAGAACCUUGUCAACCUGAUAUAUAGCUAGUUUAUUAUCUGCAUAAAUGGUUCCUGUAACAGUGGCGUUAACCGCACCAGUUGUCAAGCUAACUUGACUGCUCCCGGAAGUGGUUACGUUAAGUUGUAGCCUUUUGGCAUCGUCGCCGGCCUGUGUUUGAACCGGGUUUGUUAAGGUGUCGAAAUUUGAGAGUGAGAUGAAUGAGGAAAGUGUGUGGAAUUGUAACAGUUCUACUUUGUGUCUGUCACUGAGAGAAUUAAGGAAACCUGGUUUCAGUUUCGAAAAAGCACUGUCUUCUGGUGCGAAAACGGUUAAACCAGCAUUGCUAGAAUCUGAUGCUUCUGAUGAUGGUGAUGUAACUAGCUGUGAGUUGAGUUGGUUUAUUAACUGAGUUGUUUUGAGAAGGCGGAUAAGAACCGAGAAUCUUUUGGCUUUUUUUAGAAUUUGGAUGAUGUCAAUGGAUGGUGUUUUGGGGAUAAUGUCGAUAGGGGCGGGGCCUCCGCUUGGGGAAACUGGUACAAGGGGAACUGUGUUGAAACCUGGGGCUGGUGUUGAUGCUUGUGGGGAUUGAAAUGGUGAGAGUUGUGCUGAGGUGGAAGUGGAGUAGAAGAGGAUGCAAAUUAUUAGUUGUAGAAUUGAACAAGAGAAAAGAAAUUGUUGCUUCUUCAUUGUUGAAGGUUGAGUAGAGAUUAAUGUGUAUGACACUUUGAAAUUACUACUUAAUAGCACUUGAUUUGGGUGUCUCGGUGCUAUCAAGAAAAAACCGAUUAUCCAUAAUAACUUGGUAUCCAAAUUGAUCCAUUUUAAAAAAACCAAAUAAAAUAUUAAAAUAAAAAUUUGAAAAUCCAUUUUGUUAUCCAAAUAUAAACCGUUAUAUAUUAUAGAAAUUUUGAUUUUGUUAUUGGUUAUCCAAAUUUUACUAUGCGAUAAACUUUUAUAUUGGUAUGUUUUCAUGUUUUAUCACGUUAUAAAUCAAUUUUAUAUUUUAAAUUUUAUAAAAAAAUUAUUUUAAAAAUAAAAAUCAGAUUUUUUUCUUUUCACAAAAAAUAAAAUAUUUGGAUUUUUUUUUCGAAAAAAUUAUAUUUGAUAUUUAUUUUUCAAAUAAAAUUAUUAUUUUUUUCUAAAUAAAAAAGAUAUUUUUUAUCAAAAAUAUUUUGUAUUUUUUCAAUAAAAAAUUGUUUUUUAAAAAAGAAUAGAUUUUUUUAAAAAAAAUUUUCAGAAUAUAAUUUUAUUAUUUUCAAUUUUUUUUCUGAAUAUUUAUUAUUUUUUUUUAUGUUUUUUAAAUUUUAAAGAAAAAAAUAUUUUAAAACCUCAUAAAAUUUGUUUAUGAACAAUUACGAAAGAUUUUAGAAAUUUGAACAAUUUUUUUGAUGAGUUAUUUAUUUUAUGAACAAUUAUGAUUUAUAAAGAUAUGAUUCAUAAUUAUUUUAUUUUAUUACCGUUUUUAUGUAACACAUCACUUUUGGAUUGUUUUUAAUCGAGAUAUUAUUUGUGGUGAUUAUAAAAGUCAAAUUUAAAAUAAUUUUUUAAAAUAAAUAUUUUUUUUAUAUAUAAUAGUUUUAUAAUUAGUGAAAAUAAAAAAGUUAGUUAAAAGAAAAUAAAAUUAUUUUUGAUAUAAAAUUGAUUUUUUAAAAAUAUUGUUUUAAAAACUAUUUUAUUUUAUAAAAUUGGUUUUGAAAUUGAUUUUUUUAAGAGAAUAAAAAAUUGGUUUUAAAGAAAUUGAUUUAAAUUUUUUUUUUUUUAAAUCGGAUUAAAACCGAAUCGAUCCAUAUAUAAACCGAUUUCUAAAAAAUAAAUUGGUUUUAUGAAAAUGGUUUUAAGAACCAAACCGAAUCAUAUAUACGGUUCAAUUUGGUUUGUUUCAUGAUCCAUGCACACCCCUAGGAAUGAGGGAGAAAGAAUGGCUUUUAUUGAGGAUGUUAAUACUUGCAAGGUUUAGUUUAGUUGGAAAGAAAAUUGGAAGUUAUCAUAUCAUAUCAUAUGAUUCAUGGCAUCAUACAGUUAUAAGAUCAAUUAUUUGAUGCGGAGGGUAUAUGAAAAUGUGGUAGGAAAAUGGGCUUUUGAUCUGUUUAGAGGUUGAGGUUUUCCAUCAGCCAGAAAGAAAAGGAAAUAAUCAGAAUACAGUUUAUCUUCCUAGGUGGCACUGUCUGAGAAAGAUUUGUCAAUAAGGACUGAGGAGCUAAGAAACAAACAUUAGACCUACCUUACUCUCAGAUCAGAUGUUGCUCGCAGACUUUCAGUUCAUUAUACCUAUAGCAGUAAUUAGUUAAGAAAAUAGUAUUUAGGAGAAGCUGGAAAUGUCAAAUAUUAAGAUCUCUUGAUAAGUUUAUACAGUAUACUAAAAUUUUAAUAACAGUUGAGACUAUUUUCUUGAUAUUUUUUCUGCAUUGGAGUUGCGUGACAUGACAACAAUAUGCCAGAAGAGUUUCCAUUGUGGAACGAUUUUUCGGCAAAAGAAAUGGGAACAAUUAAAAUGACGAAGUGGCAUGUCUGCAUAAAUUGUUUGGAAGUAUACAUAAAUAGCAGCCAGGGCUUAAGUCCAUUGUGAAAUCUCAUUGUGGAGAGAGAGUGAUUCUAAAAUCUGAUUGACAUGAUUCUAGAUAACUGCAUCCAUGGAGACAGGGUUCUCACUUUGAUGAGGCGGUAUCCGCUACCUUUUAGCGUUAGGUUGGCAGGUCCGACGUACUUGGUAGGAGGAAAACAUAUGUGCAAAUUUACUGGCAAAUUAUAGUUUCUAAGAGUUCUUUGUUGUUUUGAGGUAGAGACUCUUUCAAAUGAGUUUUAUGGUUUGUGUUUUUUUAUGAUAUAUCUAGUCUGUAUAUGCCCGGGACGGUUUGUUUAGGCGCUUAGCUUUUAGUCUUCUGGGCUUAAGCACUCAUUUUGUGUCAAAAACAAAGUGAUUAUAAUCAAUUAUUAAACAUCAUAAUAAAGAUUGUAGAUUGUAAAGUAAACAUUCUUUCACCAAAACAAUAUGUUUUCUAUUUUUAACAUGAACAAAAUCAGGAAAGUGUUCACACUUCACAACCUCUCAAACAACAAUCUUCCCAUGACAAUACAAAAAACGAAACCAAGAAAGAAAAAAAAGAGCAUAAUAGAAAUUCAAAAAACAAAACAGUCUUCAAAUGAUUUACUCUUCAUCAAUUGAUCAUGGUUAGUGCAGCAACAAAAAGCGACACAAACAAUGUUCCUUGAAGACAAAUCAAAUUGAUAGCACCAGAAGUAGCCUUAGUUGUCACAUCCUGAUCAUCAUCUGAAGAUGAAUCCUUAGCAGCUUUAGGUGCUUUUGCUAUAAUAGGAGCCGCAGCGAGAGCUUUAGGCUUAGAGAAAUCCAAAGGAAUAAGCACCUUAUCAACAUGAUAUAUAGCAAGUGUUUUGUCAGAAUAAACAAUCCCUGUGAGUGUAGCAUUAACAGACCCAGUUGAAAUAUUCACAUUGUUUCCAUAAGCAGUCACAUUUAUUUGAUAACCAGAAGGACUAUCACUUGCAAGAGUGAGCACAGGAUUACUUAGUGAAUCAAAGUUUGAGCUUGAGACAUAAACAGGAAGAACAUGAAACUGUAUCAGUUGUUUCUGUUGGCGUUCGCGGAGGGAAUUAAAGUAUCCGGCUUUGAGCUGCGAAAAGGCACCGUCAUCGGGUGCAAGAAUGGUUAAACCGCCGGAUUUUGUUGUCACCAGCUGUGCGUUGAUUUGAUUGAUGAUUUGCGUGGUUUUGAGCAAGCGGAUCAGUGUGUUGAAUGAUUUAGCUUUUCUUAGGAUUUUGAUGAUGUCUUGACCGGAUGAAGAAUCGGAGGAGGGUGAUUGAGGUAAUGAAGGGACUAAUGGUUUUGCGGGUGCUGCUGCUGGAGCUGGUGUGGCAGGGGCAGGUUUUGCUGGAGGUUUAGGUGCUGCUGCAGGUGAUUCAGCUGAAGUGGUGAUGAAAAAGAUAUGAGCAAAUAGUACUAAGAGGGAAAAGAAGAUGAUUUGCUUCAUCUUUUUAUACUAGAUAGUUUUGAUGCUUUUGAAAAGGUGGUAAUGAGAGGUAUGAGUAUUUGGUUUGUGGAAGUGUAAUGGAAGAGAGUGGUUUUAUAGAUGCUAUUAGUGAGUGAUGAUUAGGUGGCUGGUUUUUGUAAUAUGAAGGUAUGAACAUAGGUUAUACAGAAAUGAUAUUUCUACACCCCUUUCUUACAUCUACACCAUGAACAAUACUUUUUUAAUUUUUUAUUAUUAAGUUCUCUCUGAGUUUUUUUUUUAAUAUCCAGAUUUUUUUAAAAAAAAUCAAGAAUACACAUUUUUUCAAAAAAAUUAUAAAAAUGGGCAUUUUUUGCCCUAUUUUUCUACUUGGGCGCCACCCUAGUUGGCGCCUACCCUUAAAUAUAUAUAUUUACUUAUUAAUUUAAUUUAUAAGUAAUUAAUAUUAUUUAUAAAUUUUGGGGAGAAUUAGGGUUAAUCAUGUUAAGGUUAAUUUAUCAAUUAUAAUUAGGGUUUAUUGAUCGGUUAUAAUUAGAGUUUGGUAGUUAUGACCUAAUUCAAACCCUAAUUCCCCAUAAGACUAAUUAAUCAAGUGAAAAGAGAGAGAGAUGUUUCGCUACAGGCACUGAAGGGACUUUUUCGACCCCCAACCCCACAACGGCAAACCGGCAAGGGGCGACCCCGCGUUAAGGACUUAGGGGUUGGGGUAAAUAGGGGAAGCCCCAACGCACCACCGACCGUGAAUCUGUGCCUUUGAGGCGAGUAAAUUUAAAGACCCUCCCCCGUGGCGGAGUCACAGUACAGGGACCGCAUCCAUAUGUGGAUAAAUCCGCAAAUUAAUUAAUAUCCAUUUAAUUCUUAUCUUAUAAUAUUUGUCUUGUGUAUUAUAUUAAAUAAAAAGUAUUGUGUUUAUUAUCUUAUAUCUAUAUUCUUAUCUUUAUCUUUAAAGAUAGUUGUUCUAUCAUAAUCCUUGUUAUAUAUAGUAAAAUAGAUUACUAUAUAUAUAUAUAUUAUAUAUAUACCUAUAGAUAUAUA